rnacentral:lncRNA from 1 species
GGGGUGGAAACGAGCCGAGCUCGAGCGAGCUUACCUCGGCUCAAAUUCGGCUUGAAAUUAAUUUCGAGCUUAAAUUUAAGCUCAAGCUUGGAUUGAAAUUAAUUCGAGCCGAGCUCGAGCGAGCCUAAUUUCGAGUCGAGCGAGCUCGAGCCCUAAACGAGCCGCUUGAAAUUCUCAACAUCAUACGAUCAAUAGUUUAAUUUGUAUAGAACAUUAUCUGUAAUUUGAUAUAAAAAUAUAUCUAAUAGCUCAAAGUACAAAAUGUUAUAUAAAAUAUAGUAUUAUAAUAUGAAAAAAAUAAUUUAUGAGUUGAAUAUCUAAUCUUUUCAGCCUCACAUGUCUUUUUUUCCGUCUUCAAUCUCCAUAUUAUUCAUUUUUAUUUAUGCAGUCAAAAAUAAAUAAAUUAUAUAGAUAAAUAUUUGAUUAAACUAUCCAAUCAUAUAUAACUAAAAUUAAAAUUUUAUAUGAAUAAUAAUUUUUUACUUUAAAAAUAUUCUGUAUAUUUUCUCAAGCAUACAAUUAAUAGCAAGGUAGGCAACAGCAAGCAUAUGCUAUUACUUGGUAACUUGGAGGGCUUUCGGCUUGGCCGCUUAGGAUGAGAGACAGAAAAAGAGAAAGAGAGAAACAUAUUGAAAAUUUAGAGUUCUGUGAAAGAAAGAAAGAAAUGAAAAAUGUAUAAAUUUAGUAAAAUUUUGCUCUUUUAUUUGUCUAUUGGGUUUGUUUUUAUGGGCCAACAACAUUAGCCCAAUUUUAACUAAACUCAGAUUAUUCACUCAGCCUAUCUAUAAUUAAAAUAUAUUAUAUUUAUAUAUUUUUAUAUAUAUAUAUAUAUAGUGUAGAACUACUAUGCUAUCGAAAAAAUAGAGGAUUUGAUGCUUUCGAAUUUUUGACCCUUUGAUUAAGAAUUGUAUGGUUGGGAUGAUUGCGGUCCCCCUUAGGAUUAAAUAAUAUUCCUAGGAUUGAGUGGUCCCUACAAGAUAAUAAUAGUAUUAAUUCAGAGAAAUGAUUAAAGGGGUUGAUCUAGGAAUCGAAAAAUCGAAAGCACCAUAUCUUCUAUACUUUCGAUAGCAUAGUAGCUCUACCAUAUAUAUAUAUAUAUAUAUAUAUAUAUAUAUAUAUAUAUAUAUAUAUAUAGAGAGAGAGAGAGAGAGAGAUAUAUAUAUAUGGAGCUUUGCUAGAAUACUAUCGGUAGUAAACCAAGCGGUUUACUACCGAUUUGUUUUCGAUGAUAGAAUUUCUAAAUCGACAAUCGGCACCAUUGAACAUGAUCUAGACCAUUUAAAUUAUCUAGAAAUCAAAUUUCAUGAUUUUUUGGCAUCACUAACUAAACGAUCAAAGGAUCAGAAAAUCUAUAAUUUUAAUGGCCGAUAUGGUGCGUUUGCUCGUUUAACGGUAUAGAAGAGCUCAAAUCAACUAAAUUUUUGUUAGAAAAUUUUUUAAACUAUUUAAAAUAAGAUCUAGACUCUAGAUCUCAAAUAUAAAAAUUGCAUCAUCACUUUUUAAAGGAUAUUCAUUUCCAGCCAUUCAUUUUUCUGUUCACUUGAUGGACAAGAGAACAAUAUCGAAAAUGUGUGAAAUUUGAUUUUCAGAUAGUUUAAAUAGUUUAGAUCAUGUUUAAUGGUGCCGAUCAUCAAUUUGGAAGCGCUAUCAUCGAAAACAAAUCGGUAGUAAACCGCCCGGUUUACUACGGAUAGUAUUCUAGCAAAGCUCUCUCUCUCUCUCUCUCUCUCUCUCUCUCUCUCUCUAUAUAUAUAUAUAUAUAUAUAUAUAGAGAGAGAGUCCAGCUAUGGUGCUUGUAAAAGUACCAAGCAUUUGGUGCUUGUAAGUUUUUUACUGUUAGAUCUACUCCUCGAAUCAUUUUCAACAAUUAGAUUAUACUAUUCAACCAACCACCCACUCAACCCUAGGGGGUCCAUAUCAUCCUAACCACAUAUCUCUUAAUCCAAUGGCUAAAAAUCUACAAGCACUAAUAACUUGCUACUUUUAAAAGUAUAGGAGCUCAAUUAUAUAUAUAUAUAUAUAUAUAUAUAUAUAUAGAGCUAGGCUGGUAUACUAUCAGUAGCACGGAGGCCUCCGUGCUACCAAGUUGUUUUCAAUGAUGCGGCUUAUAAAUCAACGAUCGGCUCCGUUAGACUUGAUCUACACUAUUGAAAGUAUUUGGAAACUAAAUUUCAUAAUUUUUCGGCAUCAUUUACCAAUCAAACGAGUAGUCUAAAAAUGAACGGCUGAAAAUGAAAAUCUCAUAAAAAAUAGUGAUAAAGAAUUCAAAUUUCAAAUCGGAAGUAUUGGUCUUGCUAUUGAUGUUAAGUAGAAUUUUCUAUUAAAUUUUCAUCUAAUUUGGAUACUUCUACACCGUUGAACUUAAAAACGCAUCAUAUCUACCAUUAAAAUUGUUAAUUUUGGAACCUUUUGAUCACUAGCCAAAUGAUGUCGAAAAAUUAUAAAAUUUAAUUUCCAAAUGCUUUUAAUAGUGUAGAUCAAGUCUAACGGAGCUGAUCGUCGAUUUGAAAGCAGCAUCAUUGAAAACAACUUGGUAGCACUGAGGCCUCCGUGCUACCGAUAGUAUACCAGCCUAGCUCUAUAUAUAUAUAUAUAUAUAUAUAUAUAUAUAUAUAUAUAUAUAUAUAUUCGAGCUUUUUGAGUCUAAUUCGAACGAGCCAAGUAAUACUCAAGGUCGGCUUGAAAUGAAUUUCGAACCUUUUUUUUUGUUCAAGCUCGGCUUAUUUAAUUUCGAGUCGAGCUCGAGCGAGCCAAAUAUCGAGUCGAACGUGAGUCGAACGCUAGCUGGCUUGCUCAUUUGCCAGCCCUACUGUUCCUGUUCAUUCUUACGUAAUGUUCAGUUACCUGACUACUUUAGACUUCAUUGCCUCCAUUUUGGAUAGAUCAAAUGAGCUUGUCGCGCCUGAACAGCUCGUGCCAGCUUUAGCCCUUGAAAAUAAUGGCUGGCUCAGUUGGUUGGUUGAGAUUGAGCUUAAUUAGGAUGGCUUAAGUACGGAAAUUGAAACUAAAGAAAAUAGACAUACAUAUGUGGAAGAUAUAAUGAUUGUAGUGAUUUAUGUAUGGGUAUUCAUAUGUACUUUGAGGUGUUACAAUAAUGUAAUUCUAAAUGGUAAACUGCUGAGAGUACCAACAUUGAAGGUAAUUCUAAAGGUCUUGCCGCCUGGUGCACCAAGAAGAGAACAAAAAGCCUUGGCAUCAAGGCUGAUUUCGAGAAAGUUGUUUACCAAGUCAACUGGGUCUUGCUGGAGAAGAUUACACUUUGGAUAGAAUUUGUUGAAAAAUAGUGGCAGUGGAUUGAGCAAUGCAUCUCCAACGUCCAAGUCUCCAUUUUGCUCAACAGGAUGCCGACAAUGUUUGAUCAAAUGAAAUAGAGGGUUGAGACUAGGAGGGUUGCCGGAAGCCUCUCUAGCUUGACAACACGAUAGUCAAACUACCCUCGUACAACCUCCCAAAAGGACUUGGUUUGCCCCAAGAUAGUGGAAUUAUGCUUAUACAAUAUGCCGAUGAUACGAUAUUUUUCGAAGAAGUCAAGAAAUGAUACUUAUGAAACCUAUCAUUCAUCCGGAACAUCUUUGAAUGGGCUUUUGGUAUGAAGAUCAAUAGCGAGCAGUUUGAGGUAUUCUACCUGGGAAGAAGAUAAUACAGGGAUGAAAAACUGGCCUUAAUCCUGUCAUGCAAAGUUGGACAACCAUCCGGCAAGACAACUUCUUCUUCUCAAGGGGGCAAGCUGACCAUCAUCAAUUUAGUCCUCUCAAACUUCUUCUCCACUUUUAAAGCACUAAAAUCGAUCCUUCAUUGUCUUGAGAUGCUCAAACUAUCUUUCUUCUAGAAUUAAAAAAGGCUCCAAAGCCAAAGACAGUGCAUGUCAUGUCAGCUGGAAAAAUGUUGGUAAACACAAAAGGAAGGUUGGAUUGGAAUGAAGGAUUUGAAACUAAUGAAUCUAGCUCUCCUUACAAAAUGCUGACGGUGAUUCUUUAAUGAACCAGAUUUUUCAUGAAAGAAAAUCAUUAAAUCACUCUACUAUAGCAUAUAAAAGCUACGAAAAGAAGGGGCGUCUUUUAAACAGUAUUCUCAAUGGUGGAGGUAUAUUCUUGUUGGGGCUUAGGAUCAUUCUGUAUGUGCUAUAAACAAAAAUACAUGAACAAAAAAAUAGCAAAAAAUAAUAGAAAAGAAAUACACAGAAAAAGAAACAGCGAUUUAUGUGGUUCGGUAAGUGGCCUACGUCCACGGGAAAAGCGAGAGACAUGUAUCCUUUAUACGAAGGAAACAAAAAUACAAGCCCACACCUUUAUGUUUCUUUCAAUCUAAUACAAGAGCCUUAUGGUUAUUACCACCCUUCUCUUGUUACAAAAAAAAAAAGAAGAGAGAAACUCAACAAGCUAUUAAUUAAGUUUUCAAAGUUCUCCUAAUACCUCACUUAAUUUACUCGUUGCUUGUUGCUUGUGCUUCUUGUGCUUUUAUCUGUGAAGUUGGAAGCCUUAUAUAGCCAUGCAUGCAGUUGCACAAUUGAUGUUAGCAACUUCAAUUGUCAAUUUUUCUUAAUCAGCCUAUAUAUAGGCUUUUUGACAAUCAUGGCAGCAUGUCUUUCAUGCAUGCAUGCAUAAAAUACAAGCAUACUUUACCGUCCAAUGAAAGCCAUUCUAUUCAUACCUUAAAUAGUUUGGUAGACCUAGUGUGCCAUGAAUCAACUUUCAUAUUUAUGUCUCUUUUGCCUAUUAGUCCGAAAACCUUAUGGGUCAAACAAAUAUUUUUAUGCCCUAUACAAAAGAAGACAUAUAACCAACAAUCUCCACCUUGUCUUCAUUUGUUCUUAAUUCAGUCUCUCUCAUCUUAAUGCUCUCUCUCCCUAGAGCUUCCAGCCAUCAGCAAUCCUACAAAUUUGCCAAGUUUAGGCGAUGCCUUGUUACCGGCUUUGUCAUGAUGUCACAAUCAAUAGUAGCGUAAUAUUUUGAGAGCCAAUCCAUUCCAAGCAUUAAGUCGAAACCCUUCAUACGGCUCAACACUAGCAAAUCCGUCGGCAUAAUCCAAUCACCAACCUGCACUAGACAAGCCGCACACUCCUCCUCGACACUAAAAGUGUGCUCAGGAGUAUAAACCCACCAAGCGUCCGCACUAUCCGAAAUCUCAAUGUCAUGACUUUUAGCAAACGACCUACUAAUGAAUGAGUUUGAUGCACCUGUAUCGAAUAAUGCUCGAGAUCUAGUGCCUUUAAUUAAAAAAAUACCUGCCACGACAUCGUCGACCACGGCAGGUUCCUCCACCUGAGGAGCAAAAACAUGACCACUCAGUACAGAUCAGGUUCCCUCAGACUGACGCGGCAUAGAUGAACGUUUAGCAGACUUGGCGGGUGGAAGACCCGCAAGCUGUCUCAGGGUCGACUGAACUGAUGCGGCUGAUGGGGCAGGCGAUACUCCACUCGGGCACUCUCGACUCAGGUGCCAGGCUGACCACACCUAUAGUACCUCCCCUUACACUGUGAACAGCUCGAUGGUCGAUGAUCCCUGCCACAAAUAACAUAUCUGAAAGGUUCCCGAUACCUCGACUGUGAUCGUGGAUACCGAAGGGGCCGCUUAGAACUCAACUGUCCCCCGGAACCACUUGCGGUUCGCUUCUUUCCUUUAUCCCUGUCCUUUUCCUUCUUAAACGAUUCACGUUCAUCACGCGCAAUCGCAUUACCUCGCUCCACCCAAAGAGCACGAUCCAAUACUUUCUCAAAAGUCUUCAACUUGAAGGCAUGUAUCACUUUGAAUAUCUCGGGUCGCAACCCUCGCUCAAAACAUUUUGCCUGAUCUCACGUGAAUCAUACCUGGAACACAGUUCACCAAAUGCAAGAACUCCCGUUCAUACUCUCGUACAGAACGAUUUCCUUGUCUCAAUUUACGAAAGUCCUCUUUCAUUUUUUUUUAUUGCUAUCCGGAAAAUACUCCAUAAAUAGUAAGUCGCGAAACUCAUCCCAAGAAAUCGGAGGAAGAUUUAGAGAUCGAUUUUUCUUGACCCUUCUCCACCAAACCUGAGCCGAUUUCUCAAAACAAUGCGCUGCUAAAUGAACUUUGUCCUUCUCCAAAGUAUAAAUAUCCUCAAAUAAUGCUUCCAUAGAAGUAAGCCACACCUCCAUCACCCAAGGGUCUGUCACCUCUCCGUUAAACAUAGGAGGGUUGAAUCGCAUAAAUGCUGUCAACACCGUAAGCGAUCUCUCCUGCUCGGCCUCCAAUGCGGCCUUAUCAAGAGCUGAAGGGCCAGAAGCCAACGGAUGAGUAGUUGACGAAACAUGAGAUGCUGUCGCCGGCGCCACAGGUGCAGGCAAAUCCUAACUCAUAGGUGCAGCCGUUGUUGCUUGCCGCGUCACCAAAUCCUGCAGCUUCGCCAUUCGCUCCUCCUGCCGAGGCAUUGCCCCAACUAAUGUAGUUACUUGAGCAUGCAGCUCGCGAACCUCAUAAGAUCCAGACUGCUCAGGCACCUCAGAAGGUGAUGCCGGAGUGGAUCUCGUCGAACGCCGCGGUGCCAUCGUCUCCUGAAACGUAACAUUCAAGUUAGUACCCAACUCGUGUCAUCUACGCGUCACAACCAAACAUUUAAACAAAACCAAAUCAGGCGAAAGCAAUCAAGUGUAUUUGUACUCAUCUCUAGGCAUUAUGUUGUUGGCCGCCAGCAUAACCCCUCAAGUUGAGUGCAAAUGAUCACUUGGAUUAGUCCCUAAUUAACAUUAGAGACAUACUAACAACUAACCCAAUUCAUUUAGCUUUCGCUAUCAUUCAAUUCACGUCACUCACGUUCCUAAUCCCUUAGGUUUACAAUCCUAAAGUUCCUAGGUCCAUCCUAUACUUUCACUUGUCAUUGCUCUGAUACCAUUUUAUCUGUCACGUCCCACUACCGCCAAUUGGUCGGUUCGGGCACGUACACAGACGCCGAACGGACAGCACCUCUCCUGUCCGCCCAAGGCUCCAUUACAACAAUUACAUGUAUAAAGAAUUAACUCAAGAUAAAAUUUCAGUAUACAUGGCUUGCACGAGGGCAAGCAACAAGCACAAGUGAAAGCAACUAACUAAACAUGCAUUUAUUGUAUCUUGAAAACUUUAAACAAAAUACAAAGCUGGAUAACUCAUUACAUUUAGUUAUUCACAAUAUAUUACAUGCUCAUUUAUACAGUAUUUUUACAUAUUUCCUUUCAUCAUAUAUAUACAAGAUGAAACAAAGGGUACACAGCUAUAUUCGGAAGUCCACUAGCUAGGGUGCAAUGCUCUUGCCGCGAUUCUCGACCGCUUUGCUCGCGCUAGGAUCUGCACGGUUAGUGGUAUGCGAACUACUGAAAGUUUUCAGUGGGUUCGGCUGCCGACCCCGCCGACUCACCCACUAGGUCUAAUCAGGCAUAUGUAGGCAAGAAAAGAUAACAGAUAGUAACCAACUAUAUCUACUACAAUGCUUGUACAAAACUGGAGAGAACAACAUAUAACUUAUGAAAUUUAUGCAUGCAUACUACUACUACCAUUAUCCAAUCAAUUUGGUUAACCAUUUGGUUAACUACAACUCACCAACCAAAUCUCUUUUGUCGGGGAGGAUUCUGCUACAACCCUACGGGACCGUCUACUGGGGAGAAUUCCACUACCAACCCAGUUGAUGACAACUCCGGAGCUCACCGCCCAAGGUGGAGCGACCUACCUCGAGCAUUCAGACUACCUGUGAGUACGAUCCAAUCCUCACUUAGAGGAUACAAUGCCACACUUUAACUAACUCUUUAUACUAAGUUAACAUUUUCAAUUCUAGAUGCUAAUCAGUUCAUCUAAUUAUAACGCCACAAUUAUUACAAGUUUAUUUUCCUUGUUUAACAUUCACAAUACUGGGUACUAUUUAUUUACACUAGUCAUCGUAUCACCUUGUUUUCUAUCGUCAUGGUCUAACACAAGUUCAUACAUCUAUAGGGUUCUAUAUUCAUGGUUCUUAUCAUUCCACAUGUUUUCUACAUUGGAAGUAUACCAACUUGUUCACAUUUAACCACAAGCUAAUCUCAACCCUAUAAUGCAUGAAUAUCAACUAUACAUAUACAUGUAUGCUCAACAAGGGACUAUAGACAUAAUGAAGGAUUCGAUGAUUUCGGAUAGCACCACCCACCUCGUAAGAAUGCCGGAAUGCGAGAACUAAAGCCUCGGAGUUUUUAAACACCUAUUACUCUCGACCCACAGCAAACGAAACCAAAAUGAGGUUUAUCCUAGUUAGCUCGCCGUAGGUCCGCCGGAACGCCAAUUCGAGCUUCCCAACACGUCAAACUUUCCUUCAUGUAGGAAUACAAGAGAUCAAACUCAAGCUAUAUUCAUGUUCCUACAUAUUUCACAUCUAACCCAAGAGUGCACAUAUGACACUCAAUAUAUAGUUUUCUCUAGGUUUUCAUGGCAAAACAAGUUCUAGCAACCUAGAAAUCCUUUCUUAGGGUAACUAGAGCAAACCUUACUAAAGAAACAUGAGAGACCUACCUUAGGUUUCCAGCUCCAACAGGUUACUUUCUUGCUCUUAAGCUCCCUCACACCCAAAACACCAACUCUACCACAAAAUCUCCUUCAAAAUUCCACCCACCAUAGGUUUAGAGAGAGAAGGAGAAGGAAAUGAAAAAGGAGGGAGAAGAGAUGGCUCCCUGCACGCAGGCAGCUGGUGGGGUACUGGGGUUUAUAGAAAACAAAUGCAAAUAAACCCCUCACAAAAGCUAUAAUUCUUUUUACAAUUCAGUCCAUUCUCGAGUCUGGGUAUCGGUACUCCCCUGUUUUAGUACCGGUACUCAAUGCAGAUUGUGCAAAGUAGGCAGCAGCUGUGUUCCAAGGUCAUUUUUUGCGCCCAAUUCGCACCGAACACCUAUAAAAACCGCCGUAACACAUCAUCUACUAUCCCCACGACACCAAAUCAGCUCGGGGACAACUCAAAUCAUAUUCAUACUUCACUUUGAUCAAUUUGAUUGUAAUAUACCAGAUUUUGGUAAAAAAAUAAAAAUAAAUAAAAAUAGUGUGGAAUACUAUUUUUAUUGAAUUUAGAGAAGUAAAACAUAAGUCAGAAUUGACUUGUGCUGAAAUCGGGAUGAAAACAGAAGAUCUAGAAUUUUCUGUUGGAAACGGGACAGAUAAAUUAGCAGAAAAUGCACAGUCUCAGAAAAUUAUGAAAAUUGGAAGAUUAGUCAGAAAUAUUUUUAUGAGGCUAGAUUUAAAGUUUCAUAUUUUUCUGACACCCGAAAAGUGAGAAAUAAAAUCCGAAAGCUAUCUGAUAAAAAUUACAGUUCGGUACAGUUUUCGGUGACCGAACGGGGUUGAAACUGAAAACUUAAGAUAUAUUCUUACUCAGCACGUAAAACCGAAUAUGACUGUCAAGUUUGAGCUCAAACGGACUUUCAGAGAGCUCUGGCGAAAGAUAUCAAAUUUUAAGUUGCCUGGAGUGAUAGUGUUUAGUGUUGACUUUAAUUAGAAGCAUCAGCUUCUUCUCCUUCAACCGACCACCGCCACCAUGGCCACACACACGCAGGCAUGAAAGGGGGAGAGAAACCCUCCUUUCUCUCUCUAAAUAUCUCUCUCAUCUCUCUAUAUCUCUCUUUAAAAAUUAGAGGGUUGGUGGAGAUCGAGCUUGCGAACGCGUUGGAGGCGACGGAUUGAGCUUUCGUGCGCCCGUUGGAGCGGCGUGUUUUCGUUGCGGCGUUCACAUUGGGGUAAGCUUUUGGGAUUUGGUUUAAUCCUUAGCUUUAAGUGCACUAAUAGCCUCUAAUGAGCAUUGAUAGCAUGUUGUUCCAUUUAAUUGGGAUUAUUUGGAGGUUAAUUCAUGUUAGGGCUCAAAAAUGCUAAUUUUCAAAAUAUGAGGGUUUGAUCUAAUUUGACCCUCCGUAAACCAAAUUGCUAGGUAAACGAACGCGUUGGCGAAGACGGUUCGGUAAUCCGACGAGCCGUUACAAAGUUGUUAAAGAAACGGACGUUUAGGCUUCGUUACCGCCUGGAGGGCCGAGGCGACGUCGUAAAAUCGUGGAAAUGGAUUUGAAGCACCGUGGCACAUAACCGAAGACCUUUAAUUUUCGGAUCAUGGAUUGGAGGCCGUUCGGGUGGUCGCGUAAAAGAUCGGGCCAAACCGGGUUACGGAGACCGCGGGAGGCCGAUUGCAAGUGUCGACAAGCAAUCGGAAAGCGUUUUGAGGUGGGUCGUGCUCACCGAAGCGAUUAGGUCGCUUUCCAUGCUAAAGUGUAGUAUGUUUACUAUUGAUGCAUGAUAAAGUAUGCUAUUUAAGAAUGAAUGAUAAAGAUUAAAGUAUGCUAUUUAAGAAUGAAUGAUAAAGAUUAAAGUAUGCUAUUUAAGAAUGAAUGAUAAAGAUUAAAGUAUGCUAUUUAAGAAUGCAUGAUAAAGAUUAAAGUAUGCUAUUUAAGAAUGCAUGAUAAAGAUAGAUGUCAAAUGAAUGCAUGAGUUAAUGUUAAUUUACAUGAGCAUAUUAUAGAAAUGUUAAACAGAUGUCAAAUGAAAGUAUGAGAUUUAUUCUAACCGAGAAUGCAUGUGGUAAAUGUUAAUGAAUGAAUAAAAUGCUAAAUGAUGACUACCAAUGGAUGACAAAAUAUCCACAUAAUGAACAUAGAUCGAGUAGCAUUUGAAAAUGGUAAAAUGGACACUAGAGUUAGUGUGGGCAUCAAAGAAUAAAUGUUGUGUAAAGAACAAUGAUAAUGGCUAGAGGUAAUGUAAAGUAAUGUGGCAUAAAGAAUAAGCAAAGUGUAAAGAAUAAUGAUAAUGGCUAGAGACAAUGUAAAGUAAUGUGGCAUAAAGAACAAGCAAAGUGUAAAGAACAAUGAUAAUGGCUAAAGUUAGCAACCAAUGUGACAUAAAGAACACUAGAGUUAGUGUGUGGCAAUAAAAGAACAAGUGUGGUAUCAAGAAUGAUAAUUACUAAAGUAAUUGAUAAUUGUGGUAUAAAGAAUAAUGAUUGCUAGAGUUAGCAACUAAUGUGAUGUAAAGAACACUAGAGUUAGUGUAAAACCAUGAUCCAACUAAAUAUCCUUAGAGUUAAGGAUUGAUCAUACUUGCUAUGAGUUCCGUGCUCGAGGGCGGUCGCUCCCCCUCGAGCGAUGCGCUCCGGAGUUUUGCAUCACGGGUUGGAGUAAACCCAAGGACGGUCCUAGCGGGUGAGUUCCUGCGAUGAUGGACUUAAUGUGAAACAAGUUAAUGUGGCGAAACCUACGGGUUAGCCAGAAAGAAUUGUGAAUUUGAAAGUGGAUCUUGUAUACAUUAUGAAUUGACUCAAGACCGAGUCGAGUGGCAUAGUUGGCUAAGGUAAAUGUAACGUUAGGAAAGAGUGAUAAGUGAGAAAGACUUGUUAAUGUUAUAAAGAAUGGCAAAUGUGUAUGAUGAGCCUAAGGCGCGAGUGCCCUUAGUAAAGGAUAAAGAACAAAGAAUAAAGCAUAAGGAAUAAAGCAUAAAGAAUAAAGAAUAAAGAAUAAAGAUUAAAGAAUAAAGAAUGGCUAAUGAUAAAGAAUUACUUAUUCUAAAGAAAGGCUAAUGGUAAAGAAUGACUAAGAGUUGCAUAAUUUGCAUAUUUGUGAGGCAUGAACAUGUAUUGCAUGAUGUUAUAUGUAUAUAUAUCUGUUGGACUAACAUGUUGCAGUGCCUCCUUUGGACCUGGUGGGUUGAGCUCUUCCCUUGGGUGGCUGUACCCACUGAGGACUAUGGACAAUAGUUUCACCCCCGUGUUGUUGUUUUUGGGGGUACAGGUUCACACGCGAGCGGCGCGGCGGCGCGAGGAAAGGGCGUAGCUCCGUAGUUAGCGCCCUACCACAGAGACCAGAUAGCAGCACCCUGAGUCGGCUUCUUAGGGGUAUAAGAAAAGAAAAGAAAAGAAUCGAUGUGGUAAUAUUAUGUUUAGAAAUCGAUUGUAUAUUUGGAAGUUGAGGAUCAUUGUAAUGAAAAAUGCGAUGUAAAAUGAUGAGAUGAAUGAUUGUAAUAAUAUAGGAUGUGUUAUGUUGUUUGAUACCUUCCUUAUGCAAUCGUGGUUGAAAAUUGUUCCUGUUUGGAACCUCUUGUACUUGUAUUGAUUGCGACGCCUUGAACGUACAGGGGAGGCUCUGUCCGCGUGCAGGGAAAGUCCUGUCCGUUCGGCGGUCUGUUGGCGUGCCCGAAUCCGACCAAAUAGGCGGGCUCGGGGCGUGACAUUGAUCAAAGUUAACCUCAUACUUGGAGAUUCGGUAUAUUACAUCUCCUCUGCUAGCUUGAAGUGCUGGGCUAAUAGAGUCUUAACCGCCUUUGCAUCUGACAUACUGAAUUGCUUUACAAUUUUCUUUAUAUAUGUCUUUUGAGAUAGCCAGAGCUUUCCUUGUUUGCGGUCUCUUCUGAUUUCCAUAUCUAAAAUUUUCUUGGCACUUCCUCGGUCCUUCAUGUCAAAUUCUUGGCUCAAUAAUUUCUUUAGCUUUUGCACUUAUGUUGGGUCUUUUGCUGCAAUCAACAUAUCAUCUACAUAAAGCAUUAGCAGAAUCAAAGAACUAUUAUUAAGUUUACGAUAAUACACACAACUGUCAUACAAACUUCUACUAUAUCCAUGUUUGAUCAUAAACCCAUUAAAUCUUUUAUACCGUUGUCUUGGUGCUUGUUUCAGUCCAUAUAGAGACCUUUUUAGCUUGCACACGAGCUUCUCUUUUCCAGACUGAAGGAAGCCUUGUGGUUGUUCCAUAUAUAUAUUUCUUCUUCGAGAUCCCUAUGAAGAAAUGCAGUUCUAACAUCGAGCUAUUGUAGCUCUAAGUCAAACAUGGUCACCAUAGCUAGAAGUAUCCUGAUAGACACAUGCUUCACUAUAGGUGAGAAGAUUUCAUUGAAAUCAACUCCUUGUUUCUGUGCAUAGCCCUUGCCCACCAAACGCACCUUAAACUUAACUAGUUCACCAUCUACACUUUGCUUUCUUUUGUAGAUCCACUUACAUCCGAUGGCUCUCUUUUCCUUAAGCAAUGGAAUCGGAUCCCAUUUCUGAUUCUUGCGCAGAGACUCCAUCUCUUCACUUAUAGCAGCCAUCCAAUUGCCACUCUCUUUAUCUUGCAUCGCCUCCUCAAAGGAAGAAGGAUAAUCUGAAGUAAUUAGUAAAGCAUAAGUUGCAAAAUCAUCCAGACUGUACCUUAAUGGUGGACGAAUUUGUCUUCUUUCCCUUCCUUUAGCGAUAGAGUAGGGCUCCUCUAAAGUGCUCUCAUUUGGAUCAACUGAUGUCUCAUGAUCUUCUUCAUAGUGUGGCUGCUCCACCUGAUUAUGUACACUCUCUUGUUGCUCCACUUGAAUUUCUGUAGUCUUCGCACGCUCUUCAUGUUGAGCCUGCCGUUGGAUCUUUUGCAGCAUUAAUUUUUCGUUAAAGACCACAUCCCUGCUAAUCACCUUCUUCUUGGCAACGGGGUCCCAAAGCUUAUAUCCUUUCACCCCCCCUUCUCAAACCCAGGAAAUAUGCAGGGUUUUGACUUUGAAUCUAACUUCGUGCACUGAUUUUCCUGAAUAUGAACAUAAGUAGGACAACCAAAGACACGUAAUAAGGAAUAAUCUGCAAGUUUACCUGACCAUAAUUCCACUGAUGUUUUGAGUUCGAUUGCUGUGGAAGGGGAUCUAUUUAUAAUAUAGCACGCCACAUCCACUCCUUCGGCCCAGAACUCUUUUGGCAAAUCUGUGCAUAUCCUCAUAGAUCGGGCCUUUUCUAAUAGUGUCCUGUUCAUCCUUUCUGCUACUCCAUUCUGCUGUGGAGUUCUAGGAACUGUCAAAAUGACGUGUAAUGCCUUCUUCCUUACAGAAACUAAUAAACUCUUUAGAAGUGAACUCUCCACAAUUGUCUAUUCAUAUAUACUUGACUUGCUUGCCUGUCUGUUUCUCCAUCUCUUUCUUCCAAUGUUUGAGCUUUAUGAAGGCUUUAGACUUUUCCUUCAUGAAGAAAACCCAAACUUUACAAGAAAAAUCAUCAAUAAAUGAUACAAAAUACCGCGCACCUCCUUUCGAAGUCAUUGGAGCAGGCGCCCACACGUCUGAAUGGAUGUAUUCAAGUAUGUCUUUACUUCUAUGAUCGGAGGACCUGAAACUUGCCCUUUUCGAUUUUCCAAAUGUACAGUAUUUACAGAAAUUGAGUUUGCAGGCUUUCAUACUUUUGAAUACUCCUCUUUUAUGCAGCUCCAACAUCCCUUUAUGACCCAUGUGGGCUAGUCUCAUAUGCCAGAGUUUUGCAUUAUCGGCAUCAUGAUCAUCUAAGGAUGUCACUGCAACACCUCCAAUCACCGACUCGCCGAUCAACUUGUAUAGGUUUUCUUUUUUCUCUCCUUUCAUGACAGUCAUGGUACCUCUUUUUACCUUAAUAACUCCACCUGCAAUAGUAGUACUGCAACCAAUAGAGUCAAGAGCUCCAAGUGAUAUUAGAUUUAACCUGAGACAUGGAACAUGUCUCACAUUUGUCAAAGUUCUUAUUAUGUUAUCGUGCAUCUUUAUUUUUACUGUUCCUACACCAACAACUUUGCAAGUAGUGUGAUUAUCUAUCAUAACACUUCCACUUUCACAAGAUUUGUAGAAAUCAAAUAAAAAUUUAUUUGGUGUCAUAUGAUAAGAACAACCUGAAUCUAAUAUCCAGUCAGCAAGAGAUUCAAUACCUGAAGAAACCAUCAAAACAUCAUGAUUUUGAUCAGGGUCAUUGUCUACGCUUACUGUACCUGUAGAGGAAUUCUUAUUUUGCAGCCAUGCCUUUCACAGUCUUGCUUCAUGUGGCCAUCUUUUUUGCAAAAAUAACACUUCACCUUUUUUGACCUUGACUUAGAACGAGAUUUUCCUUUAUCUGAAUCACGUUCUUUAUGCCGUCCCCUUCCUACAUCUUUAACAAUUAAACCUUCACUCGGCUCCUCCGAAAUGGAUUGCUUUCUAUUCUCUUCUGAUAGAAGGGCUGAAGUAACGUCUUCCAUUGAAAGAGUUUGUUUUCCAUAAAGAAUAGUUGUAACUAAAUAAUUAUAGGAAGGAGGAAGCAAUGUGAGGAAAAUCAAUGCCUUAUCGUCCUCGUCAAGCUUCACAUCUACACUAAGUAGAUCACUAAUAAUUUUAUUAAAAAUAUUUAAGUGUUCAGCAACUGUCGUACCUUCUUUCAUGCGUAGCUCAUAUAAUUUUUGCUUUAGGUAUAACAUAUUAGAGAGGCUCUUUGUCAUGUAUAGCUUCUCCAAUUUGGUCCAUAUGCCAACAGUUCUUCGUCCAUGAUAUUAUACAUCACCUCAUCUGCCAGACACAAUAUGAUGGUAUUAAGUGCCUUCAGAUCAAGCUCUUCCCAGUCUUCAUCGCUCAUUGUUGCUGAUUUUUGAGACUUUCCCAGCAAUGUCUUAUGAAGACCUUGUUGUACUAAGAUGGCCUUCACUUUUCUUUGCCAAAGACCAAAAUUUCCUUUUCCAUCAAAUUUCUCCAGCUUGAAUUUGGACAUCGAGACAUUCGGCAUUUUUGUUGUAGCACCGGCCCGUUGCUCUGAUACCAAUUGUUGGGACUUAGGAUUGCCCUGCAUGUGCUAUCAACAAAAAUACACGAACAAAGAAAUAGCGAAAAAUAAUAGAAAAGAAAUACAUAGAAAAAGAGAACGAUUUACGUGGUUCGGUAACUAGCCUACGUCCACAGGGAGAGCGAGAGAGAUGUAUCCUUUAUACGAAGAAAAUAAAAAAUACGAGCCAACACCUUUAUGUUUCUCUCAAUCUAAUACAAGAGCCUUAUGGUUACUACCACCCUUCUCUUGUUACAAAAAAAAAAGAGAGAAACUCAACAAGCUACUAAUUAAGUUUCUAGGCUUCUCCUAAUACCUUACUUAAUUCACUUGUUGCUUGUUGCUUGUGUUUCUUCUUGUACUUUUAUCUGUGGAGUUGGAAGUCUUUUAUAGCCAUAUAUGCAUGCAGUUGCACAAUUGAAGUUGGCAACUUCAAUUGUCAACUUUCCUUAAUUAGCCUAUAUAUAGGCUUUUUGACAACCAUGGCAGCAUGUGUUUCAUGCAUGCAUGCAUGAAACACAAGCAUACUUCACUGUCCAAUGAAAGCCAUUAUAUUCAUACCUUAAAUAGUUUGGUAGACCCAGUGCACCAUGAACCAACUUUCAUAUUUAUUUCUCUUUUGCAUAUUACUCCAAAAACCUUAUGGGCCAAAGAAAUAUUUUUAUGCCUUAUACAAAAGAAGACAUAUCACUAAUAAUUCUAGACUGCAAAGCCAUUUUCCUGUGUGGUUCUACCUUCAAGCUAGGGUGUGGUAAGAACCUAUCACUUUAGACUUACUUGGACUAGAGAAAUGCCAUUACAAUAUGUUUGUCCAAUCAUAUUCUCCAAUGGUACAUAAAGACUUAUACAUCAAAGAUUGCCGGGGUAGCAAGGUGAUGCAGGCUGAAAAUACUAUAGUAAUGGGUACCAUAGAAGUAGGUGGAAGAGGAAAAAAUGGAAGAAUGAAACAAAGAGAAAAAGAACAAAGAAAAGAAAUUUUCCUAAUAGAAUUAUAUCUAAUUUUAAUUUAAAACUUUUAAAUUUAUAUUCUUAAUUUUUAGAGAUUUAUUCCACAAAACUCUUCGAAAAAUCUAAAAAAGGACCUUUAAAAUAAUUUAACAAAAUAAUAAUUUUAACAAUUAAAAAAUAAAUUUUAAAUUAUAGUCUAUUUUUUGGCUGUAUUAUUCACUUCCACCACGUAAAAUCUCAUUCUUAAGAUCAAUAAGAUAAGCAACAAAAAAUUUAAGAUCAAAUCUUUGGCAUAAUAUAAUGAUGUAGUCGAACUCCGACAUAUUGAAGUAUAUACAUUAAUUACAUCUCAAUUGUGGUAGUGUGAAAAGUAUGAUUGUAAUAUACUGAACUUUUGCAAAUUGCGGAGUUCGAGUAUGUGGAAUGGUGUGUGGAUCAAUCCUACAUGUUCAUCAAUCCUACAUGUUCUAAAAGAUUAGAACAAGUUUUUGGAUAAGUUAGAGGAUGAUUGGAAUGCUAAAAGUGAGAAAUUGCAUUGAUCUGCGAUAAUCAGCAAUUUUUUUGCUUGUUGUACCGGUACAGCCAUCACCUUGUACCGGUACAAGCUGGCAGAUUCGUGGCAGCAAGGUUAGUUUCGUAAUUUCACAUUUGAUACCUACCUAUUUGAUCCCAGCACGACUCUGGGACUUCAGUGGAGUGUGCUAGAGUGCUGAGGAGCUUCCUCCACCUUCUCUCCCUCUCUCUCUCUAGGGUUUUCCUCUCUCUACUUCGAAUUCGUCGAUUUUGCUCGUUUUCGUCGCCGCGCUUGUUCUUCGCUGUUUGCGAGCGUCGCAGAGCUUUCGUGGACGCGUGAGAGAGUAUCUUGGAAGGUUCUUUGCAACUCUGGACCUGUCACGCCCCGGGACCGGCAGAGGCCCUCCCGGUAGCGUGUCCAGACCCGCCAUAUGUCUACACAUAUAAGGCGUCUACAAGAAAAGCGGAAGUAAAAGCAAGAGAUGGAACAAUUAAGAGAAGUGAAAUUACAAGCAACUAAUGAUAUCAGAGCGAGUAAAGUUCUAAACAUCUAUACUCAUGGUAAUAGAACAGAACUAAUACAUAAAAGUAAACAUAAGUUAUACAGUAUCAGCCUCUAAUACAAAAAUGGUGGUCUCUAGUACACUGGUAAAACUCUCAACCUCUAACAAAAGAAAACACGAGAGGUAAACCACCUAUCGAACGGUCCCUCGGUAAGCGCGCUAGCCCGAGGCGAUACCCUUUCCGCGAUCCCUGGCCUCACCUUGAGUGGAAGGCUCUGAAAAACAUCGAGAAAAAGAGGGCGUGAGAACUAUAAUUUAUAGUCCCCAGUGGCAACUUACUGAGACGUCCAGCUGCCUGCCCCCAACUAGGCGCCCAAAUAUUGGAGGAGAGGAUUAAACACAUACGACGGAUCAUAUAAUGUAAGCACCAAUAAAAAGUAUCCGUACACUAAUUACUAUGCUACGACAGAGAGAGGCAUAUAUAAAAUGGCUAUAACACUACUAUACUUCGUUAAGCUUUCUCUUCAUGACACGCACAAUCGUCAAACUGUGCACUAUCUGAGCGUGCCUAUGCAUAAGGAAAAGACUAAGCACACACCUAGGCGCUUAUCAUAGUUUAACAGUUACAACAUGCACACCUCUAUUCAUAACAUGAUUCAUUAGCUCUAUCAUGACAACCAAGUAUAAAAAAAAUAAACCUGUGAUGAAAAUAGGUAAGCUGUCAAGUAUAACUACAUGUCUCAAUCACUAUGCUAAAGAUAAUAAAUGGAACUCAAAGUAACUAAAGCCUAUCUAAGUAUGAUUAUCCAUUCUGCGAACCGUAUCGAUUUCCAUUUCCAAUUAAGGACCUACCAAAAGGUAGUCCUACACUUGGGCCGCGCUAAUGCCUGUGGUACCCGAACGAUCCUACUGCUUGAAUGUGUCUGUCCCCACUCGACACCGCGUAGCUUCUGCAAUAUCGCACGAGCGAUGUACAAAAAUCGCCAUAGCCAACUGCCGAGUGCCGCUUGUGGGAGCGACGCCUCAACAGCAUGUGCGAAAUGAGCUACAAAUGCAAUCCAAGCAAGGUCAAUCGGUCUUCAAGUACCCAAUGCCGUCAUGUCUCUAACAUGUAUAGUCCUAUGAUCCAAAGAUCUAGUUUCCAAGUCAUAACGUGAUUAGUCACGCAAGCACAUCACCUGCUUAUGCCUCUUUAUGACCACUUAAAGGCUCUCACAACUUAAUACAGUUUCACAAUUAAGACGAUUAACAAUUAAUGCUCGCUAUAUACCCGAGGGCCCCCAAUGCCUCUUACAUGACAAUUGCCGCAAUCUCGCAUAUCAUCUAACUGUCGCCUUAAGCCUCUCAGUAACUUUCAAAAAAUGCCCUAUGUCACAAUCUGGUAUAUAUGGUACUGAAUGGCAUGAACACGAGAGGUUCGUCUUCAUAAUAGGGAUUACAAUUUCAAAUCGGCCAACUUAGAAGCUGGGCCAUCAAAAAAAACACAUGCAUUGCUUUAACUAUAUAGUAGAGUCUCAAAAUUAACUAGCACAUAACAUAUGGCAUGUUAAGCAUUCUAAAAUCUCAUAUAAAUAACAUAUAAACAAGAAUAUGCAUGCUUUUCAUUUAUCGACACAAGUUAAGGCACAAAUGAAAUUUCUCAUUGUGUGCUAGGUCAAACCCACCGAACCGUCGCGUAGGGUCUCGAUUCGGCACGAUCAAGGUUGUCCACAGGAGCCUCAAGAUAUCCUAAAAGUGAUCAGCGGAAGAGAUACGAGAGCAUUACGACCACCAUAGAUCAAACAUCAAUCUAGAAACAAAUAGGGCCAAAACUAACCUCAAGAGAGAAUACUCUCCAAAGCUCCAAAGAGAGCUAGAACCCUUCCAAUCGCAGCCCAAGGAAGGUUCUAACCAAUCAAUUUAAACCCCAAAAGCCCUAGUCAAGAAGCCCCCAAAAAUCAACCCUAAAAUCUCAUUUCUAGGGUUCCAACUACAAAACCAUCAAAACAAGGUCUAGAGGAGGGAAAUGGGCAACAAACCUCCUUAGAAGCUCCAAUCCUAAGCUCCAAGGGUGAGAGGUCCCUCUAUGCAAGCUCCAAGCCCAAGCCUCUAGCACCAAGGAAGAUGAGAGGGAGAAGGUGCUCAAGUCCACUAUGGCUCCAAACUUCUUCUUCUUCCCUGCCUUCUCCUUCUCUCUCUCUUCUUCUCCUCUCUAACAAAGGUAUGGAGGGAGUGUGAGGAGAGAAAUGAGAAAGAGAGAGGGUGGAAGGGCUAUUUAGGCCAUCCAAAGUAACAACAAUCCCAGGAGGUCCUCAAAAAUCCAAAAAUACGUCAGCCCGGACUGAGGCAGUUUUCGCCCAAGCAGGACCCGUCUCUCCCCAGCAGGGACAGCGGUCUCUCGCUGCAACACCGAAAAAACCAGCGUUCGGGAACGUGUCUCUCCCCGCGCAAGGACCGGUUCUCACUGGCGAAGAUGCGCUCGGGGACCGCUGUCGCCCGCGAGGAGCCGGUUGCCUCAGGCUGCUCCAACACUGCUCACUGGGGAACGGUCUCUCCUUCCAGGGAACCAGGUCCCUGAGAGUAAACAACUCUCAGGACUUGUCCAAAGUCUCAGAUUCGAACUUUCGGGUCGGGACAAAUUUUACACCUCCACACAAGUGUGGAAAAGCUCGAAAUACAUUCAAAACACUCGAACCAUCGCAAUUGGCAAAGGUCCAGUGUGUUACAGGACACAGUGAAUGCUGGAUGGAAGCUCAGAGAAGGUAAACGACUCGAUUUCUCCAUUAUCAAUGUUCUAGUAGUCGUUUUUGUGUUGCUUUUGAGUUAUGGGCUUCUAGUUGCUUAAUCUGAGAUUUUAGCAAUUAAAGUUGGAUUAAUUAGCUGUGAAUUGAGCUCUUAGACUAGGGAUAAGCUUCUUGAAGGUUAAUUGAGAUAAUUAGCACAUUUAAAGCUAUUUCGGACAUUAUACAGCGGUAUGCGAUCGAAUUGAUGCAGUUUGGACUUGUUCUGUCGCACAGUUCUCGAACCACUUGGAGCUUAUUUGAAUGACCUUGAAGCGGUUUAGAAGGUGUUCUAACCUUGAGUAAGCAAGAUAUUCAGUUAAGAAGCCGAAAUUGCAAGAAUUACGACUAUUAUAGUUCUAUAAUCGACUAUAUUGAUGUCGUUUCGGAAUGUUCGCAGCGAGAGGUAUUUGACCCUUGGACCCGCCUCUGUUUGGCCUGGAGAGGCCAUUCUGGAAGCUUACAUGAGUAUGAACUAAGCAAAACAGGGAUUUAAGCUAUUCCUAUGUAUUAAGUGCAAUUGCGCCGAAAUUGGACAUUUCAAUCGUGAUUUGAUACGAUCUUUGUGUUCGUGUUCAGCAGGUGAGACCUAGUGGAGCUGAUCCUUGGGACUCCUUUGACUAUUUGGAGCCUAGUACUAGGUGGGUUUGACCUAACCAGAGCAAGUGAACUCCCUAUGUUCUAUAUGUAACUAUAGAAUUGAUAUAGUCGUGUGUUCUUGUCACUUUGUGGGUACUAAAUGGAUUUGAUACCUCUUGCCAUAUCGUUGAUAUAUUGGAAAUAGAACCUCUAUGAAGUAGAGAGAACUUAUGCAUAAUUAUAUUAUGCUCAUAUUUUAUGUUUAUUAGUUAAGUUGAAAACUAAUGGACAUGACAUUUAUGCUUUGUAAAGUAGAGAACAAUGAUAUUCUCGUGACUUUAUGAUUAUACAUUGACAUCCAUCGUGACUGGUAAAGAUUCUAAUGCCAUAUGUAAAUUAGCAUUACUCUCGCAUGUUUGUCAAUCUAGCGGAUACUAGUUGUUGUCAAUAUUUGUUAUAUUGAAAUACCGAUCAAAGAAUCGAGAGAAAAAAUAUUAUGAGCUAAAUUGUGAUAGCUGAGACAUGUUGGACUGUGGACCUUGCUUGCUUGCCAUCGUGCUCAUUCGCACACGCUUGUGAGGGUAGCUCCCUACAAGCCGGCACUCUGGAGUUGGCCUACGCGACAGUUGCUCACUUGUGCGGGAUUGGGUGCCGAAGUGGAUUACCGUGGGGAGUGUAUACUACCACGGGGCCAUUAGGCGCGGCGCAAGCCGGACUACCUUGGAUAGGUCCUGAUGAAUGAAAGGAAAACUCUAUUGAGGUGAAAGUACUAAAUGACAAAGGACAGUAAUGAAUGCUUACUAGUUAAAGUGUACAGUAGUACUUUUAUAUUCAUGUUUAUGUUCAUGAUUACAGAAGUUGUUAUAUCUCUAUUAUGCAAAUGAUUCAUUACUGUAGAAAGCUAUUACAUGUUGAUUACAUGCUCAUUACUUGUUAGCAUCAUGCUUAUAAAUCAUGCAAUUAUCGUUUUUGCUUUCAUUUAGUACAUCAUGAACCUAGUGGUGUAAUUCGCCGAGGCUAGCGGCUUACCCACUGGGAACUAUUGUUAAUAGUUCUCACGCCCUUUUGGUGGUUGUUUUUUCAGAGCCAUCUACAGGAGAGGCUAAGGAUCGUGGCAAGGGAGUCGCGUCUAGCUAGACAUUGCUAGGAGCAUGCUAGUCGAUCACCUUACUACUCGGGCUACGGCCGAGGGUGAUGUCCCUAUAUAUAGAAAGACCACCAUUGUAUCUGUUCUUUUGUAUACCCCGUGAUGUAUAUGUACUUUUUGGACUGUCACUAUAGUUGUGAUACUUGCUCUUUUAGUCGAGAUUUUGGUUUGUUCACUCUUUGUCCUUUUGUUGAUAGUAUAUCGACUUGUACUUUCCUCUGAUAUCAGGAUAGAAUUUUACUAUGUUUCCUUCCUAUCGACUUGUAUUCUUGUAGACGCCUUAUAUACUGCAGGUGUAUGGCGGGUCUGUGCACGUACCGGAUAUGCUUCCGCUGGUACCCGGGCGUGACAGAUUAUAGUGGUAUCAGAGCCUAGGGUUGAGUCUUAGUAGACCUAGCAAACCUUAGGCUGGUUGGACUAUAAGAUAGGCUCGUGAGAGACGAGGUCUAGUUGAGGUUGUUGUUAGCGAAAGUACUUUGAUUGGGUGAUUUAGAAACUCCGAAUGGUAGGAGUUUGAUCGGAAUGUGCAAUUACUAACUUUGCAGAGGGCCACGUUGGCGGCCGACAACGUGACAUCGGAACUUAGUACGCGUUACAUUUCAUUACUUUCGCUUAAUUAGUUGGUUUAUAUCCUCAAUGAGGGUUCAAUAGUAUAGGGUUUUUUGACCCAUGUUUGUUUUUGUGUUGCAGCUUAAGAUGCCUACGACUCGUUCUGGAACCGCCGGGGCGGCUGAGGCGGCCGCUACGGAAGAAGUAGAGACUUCCGUCACUUCGGGGUCCAGUGAGGUCAGGGAGUUACAGGAACAGCUCGUGGGGUUGACUCAGCUAGUGACCCAGCAGGCUGCGGUUGCGCGACAGCAGAUAGAUGCUACCGCGUCGACAGGAGGACAGGAUGAAGAGGUUAGAGGAUCUGUUACUGCGGCAGACGACCGACAGAGAGAUUCCAGAUUCUGUACCUCCAGAUUCUGUACCUACAGCACCAGAGAGGGGCACGACUGCGAGAGCACCGUCACCGGUACCCGAUAUACCCCCAGUAGCCCCGAGGGUAGAGCCCCGACUGCAGACAGUAGCACCAUCACCAGUUCCUGUAGCGACAUCAGUGACAGUGUUACCUGAGAUGGUGGGGGUUGAGGAGCGAGAACGGAUGAUGGAACGACUGAAUGAAUUUCGUCGUUGCAACCCUCGUAUCUUUGACGGGGAGAAAGCAGAUCACUGGGUGGUCGAGAAAUGGCUAAUGCACAUGGAGAAGCUAUUUUAUGAUACCUUUGUUGAGGAGCGGUACCGAGUCUGGUUUGCGACACACCACCUUGAUGGCAAGGCUUACAGGUGGUGGGUGGAUAUCCGUGAGGACCCCCGUGCUGAUUUGUCUGCUAUCACGUGGAACAGGUUCAAGGAAUUGUUGUUGACUACCUAUUUUUCGCAGAGUGUGAAGAGGCAAAUGGAAAGGGAUCUGAGAAACUUGAGGCAGGGGGACAGGACAGUGGAGGAGUAUGAGCGAGAGUUCUCCCGAUUACUGCACUGUGUUCCUUUUGUGGUUAGAGAUGAUGAGGACAAGGCUCAUAUUUUUGAGGUGGGUUUGCGGCCUGCGAUUUUCAGAUUGGUCCAGGGGUCAAACCUCUCUACUUACAGGGAUGUUGUGAACCGGGCCUUGAUUGUGGAAAAGGGGGCAGAGAUAAUGAAGGAAAGAGACGUUGUGGAUCGAGGCAAAGGGAAGCGACCAGCAGCUGAGAGCAGUGGUCAGCAAUCUUUCAGGAGACCGCCAAAGUAUCCGAGGGGCCAGACGGGCCAGACAGGUCAGUCGAGGGGUCGAGGAUCUUCAGCGCCCCGUGGAGCACCUGAGCGUCGUCGACCGCCGCGCUGUGUUAUCUGUGGUGGGCCUCACGUGCCGCCGCAGUGCCCACAGCGUGGGGGCAGGUGCUUUCUCUGCGGCCAGGAGGGCCACUUUCGCUCAGAGUGCCCGAGAGGUUCCUUGCCUGCACCCUUGUCCACGUCUGCACCUGCAUCUUGAGCUCCGAGCCAGGGGACCCCGACAGCACCUUAUCAGUCUAGGCGACCACCAGGACAGCGGCAGUGGGAGAGUUCGUAGCAGGGUUCGAGUGGGCGGAUGUAUGCCGCCCAGACUGAGGGCGCCGCAGCAGCACAGGAGGUCGUAGCAGGUAUUAUUUUGAUUCAUGAUGUUCGUUUUCGUGCAUUAUUUGAUACUGGUGCUUCGCAUUCUUUUAUUGAUCGGCAGUUCGCCGAGUUGCAUACAUUCAUUUAGCACCUACUUUGCAUCCGGGACGAGUGAUCGUGCCCGACCAUACCCUAGAUGUUCGUGAGUUUUGCCCUCGCUGCCCAGUUAGGGUAGGCGACUGGAUUAUGCCAGUGGAUUUACUAGCACUACACAAACUAAGUGAGUUUGAUGUAGUAUUGGGUAUGGAUUGGUUGACAUAGUACUAUGCCACUAUUGAUUGCACGAACAGAACGGUGACCUUUAGGGAGCCGGGUCAGCAAGAGUUUGUUUAUAAAGGGUGUUAGAGUUCAUUAUUCGCAAUGACUAUUAGCUCUUCGCGAGCCCGACAGUUGAUACGGAGAGGUUGUGUAGCCUAUUUGGCUAGCAUCUCUGUGAGUGGUGGUGAAGCCGUCAAGAUUGAUGAUAUCCCAGUUGUGCGGGAAUUCGGGGAUGUGUUUCCAGCUGAGCUGCCGGGUAUGCCACCUGAUAGGGAAGUUGAGUUUGUGAUUGAUCUUGCCCCUGGAAUUACCCCUAUCUCGAAAGCACCCUAUAGGAUGGCACCCGCUGAGUUGAAAGAGCUGAAGGCACAGUUACAAGAUCUUUUAGAUAAAGGAUUUAUUCGACCGAGUGUAUCGCCCUGGGGAGCACCGGUGUUAUUUGUCAAGAAGAAGGAUGGAUCUCUUCGAUUGUGCGUGGAUUAUCGAGAAAUCAACAAAGUCACAAUCAAGAAUAAAUAUCCAUUGCCCAGAAUUAAUGACUUAUUUGAUCAGCUGCAAGGAUCGAAAGUAUACUCCAAGAUCGAUUUACAAUCUGGUUAUCAUCAGCUCAAGAUCAAGCCUGAGAAUGUCUCGAAAACUGCUUUUAGAACACGGUAUGGGCAUUAUAAAUUUACAGUCAUGCCAUUUGGACUGACUAAUGUCCCAGCAGCUUUUAUGGAUUUGAUGAACCGUGUCUUCAAACCCUUUUUAGAUAGGUUUGUGGUAGUGUUUAUUGAUGACAUCUUGAUCUAUUCUCGAAGUGAUGAGGAGCAUGAAAAUCAUUUGAGAGUGGUGUUGCAAGUACUUCGAGAAAAGAAACUGUUCGCAAAGUUAAAGAAAUGCGAAUUUUGGCUUCGAUAAGUGGCAUUUUUGGGCCAUGUGAUUUCAGAAACUGGGAUAGCUGUGGAUCCAAAGAAGAUUGAAGCGAUUAAAGAUUGGCCCAGGCCGACCAGCGUGACAGAGAUUCGGAGUUUCCUUAGUUUGGCGGGAUACUACCGAAGAUUUGUAGAAGGGUUCGCAAAAAUGUCUACUCCUCUUACUCGCUGGACACAUAAAGGAGCUAAAUUCCUGUGGAAUGAAGCCUGUGAAAGAAGCUUUCAAGAGCUGAAGGAACGAUUGAACAUCGCCCCGAUUCUAGCUUUGCCUGUUACCGGAGUGGAUUAUGUGAUUUACAGUGAUGCAUCGCUGAAUGGAUUAGGGUGUGUUCUAAUGCAGAAUGGCAGAGUAAUUGCUUAUGCUUCUCGCCAAUUGAAGGAUUAUAAAAAGAACUACCCUACACAUGAUCUAGAGCUGGCAGCUGUUGUCUUUGCCUUGAAACUCUGGCGUCACUACCUCUAUGGUAAACGUUGCGAAGUUUACACAGAUCAUAAAAGCCUAAAGUAUAUGUUUACUCAAAAGGAAUUAAACUUGAGGCAACGUAGAUGGUUGGAGUUGCUCAAGGAUUAUGAUUUGACUAUCCUCUAUCAUCCAGGAAUAGCUAACUUGUAGCAGAUGCUUUAAGUCGAAAAUCGACGAAAAAUUUGGCGAUGUCGAUAACUAUGCAACCCCUGUUGAUUAAGGACAUGGAGCAGUUGAAUUUGGAAAUUGUAGCUCCUGAUACGCUUUGGAGACUUAUGUCAUUAGUGAUGCAAACUACCCUAAUCGAUCGAAUUAAAGAAAAGCAAGCUCAAGAUGAAUUCCUGCAAAAGGUUCGAGCAAAGAUCACUGCUGAUCAGGAUGGUGGUGAGUUUCGAGUGGAUGAUCAGGGACUAUUAAGAUUUUGUGAUAGGCUUUGUGUGCCAGCAGAUCCAGACAUUAAAGAAGAGAUUUUAAAAGAAGCACAUCAGGCACUGUAUACUGUACACCCUGGGAGUACGAAAAUGUAUAAGGAUUUGAAGUUAACUUACUGGUGGCAUGGAAUAAAAAAGGAAGUUGCAGAUUUUGUGGCUAAAUGCCUAACCUGUCAGCAAGUUAAAGCUGAGCAUCGACUUCCUGCAGGAAAACUUCAGAGUUUACCCAUACCAGUGUGGAAGUGGUAGAGGAUUACUAUGGACUUCAUCGUUGGAUUACCUCGCUCACAGGCAGGUCACGAUGCCAUUUGGGUAAUUGUGGAUAGAUUGACUAAAUCUGCCCACUUUAUUCCGAUUCAUACAGUUUGGUCGGGGGAGAGACUCGCACAAGUGUAUCUUGAUGGAAUUGUGCGAUUACACGGAGUACCUGCUUCUACUGUUUCAGAUCGAGACACCCGAUUCGUUUCACAUUUCUGGAGAAGUUUACAGGAGGCUAUGGGUACCCGAUUGGAUUUCAGUACUGCUUUCCACCCCCAGAGUGAUGGGCAGUCUGAGCGUACCAUCCAAACCUUUGAGGAUAUGUUGAGGGCCUGUGUGAUUGAUUACCAGGGCAGUUGGCCACAGUUCCUACCGAUGGCUGAAUUUGCUUAUAACAACAGUUAUCAAGCAAGUAUUCAGAUGGCACCGUUUGAAGCCCUUUAUGGUAGAAAGUGCAGAUCACCACUUCAUUGGAGUGAAGUGGGAGAGAGAUUAGUUUUGGGUCCAGAUGUACUGCAAGAGGCUGAAGCUAAAGUUCGACUUGCGCGAGAACGUCUAUUGACAGCUCAAAGUCGACAAAGGAGUUAUGCAGACAAACGUCGGCGAGAACUGAAAUUUCAAGUUGGCGAUCAUGUAUUUCUGAAGGUUUCACCGACGAAAGGAGUGAAGAGAUUUGGCAUUCGAGGAAAGUUGAGCCCUCGAUUUAUUGGACCCUACGAGGUGUUAGAGCGGAUUGGCCCCGUAGCGUAUCGGCUUGCCUUGCCGCCAAGUUUAUCAGGAGUACACAAUGUGUUUCAUGUAUCGACACUUCGAAAGUAUAUUUUUGAUCCAACCCACAUAUUGGAGAGUACUCCAGUGGAUUUACAAGAAGAUUUGAGCUUCGAGGAGCAUCCAGUGAAGAUACUAGCUCGAGAAGUAAAACGGCUUAGAAAUCGCGAGAUCCCUUACGUGAAGAUCCUUUGGGGCAAUCACGAUGAACGGGAAGCCACUUGGGAACUGGAGAGUGCAAUGCAAGAGCAUUAUCCCUAUCUAGUCUCGAUGGAAUCGUGAGGUAGGUGUUUACAAGUUUCGCGGACGAAACUUCUUUUUAGGAGGGGUGAAUGUAAUACACUGAAUUUUUGCAAAUUGUGAAAUUCGAGUAUGAGGAAUGAUAUGUGGAUCUAUCCUACAUGUUCUAAAAGGCUUGGACAAGUUAGAGAGUGUUUGGAAAGCUAAAAGCGAGAAAUUGCAAUGAACUGGCGAAAUCAGCCUUUUCUGCUUGUUGUACCGGUACAGCCCUUACCUUGUACCGGUACACUUUGGCAGAAACGUGGCAGCUUGGGUAGUUUGGUAAUUUCACAUCUUGCUCUCAUCUAUUUGAUUCCAGCACGCCUCUGGGGACUCAGUGGAGGGUGCUAGGCUCAGAGAAAGCUUCUUCCACUUCCACUCUCUCUCUUCCUCUCUCUCUAGGGUUUUUCUCUCUCUACAUAGAAUUCGACGAUUUCGCUCGUUUUCGUCGCAACGUUGGUUCUUCGCUGUUCGCGAGUGUCGCAGAGCCUACGUGGACGUGUGAGGGAGUAUUUUGGAGAGCUUUUCACAGCUCUGGACCAGCAGUUCACUGGUUGGAAGCCUGAGGAGGUAAUCGACUCGAUUUCUCUCUAGUUUACGGUUUCGUAUUGAUUUUGGACACCUUUUAGUUUCAUUGCUUCCAACUGAGCUAGAAGUUGUUUACAGCAGUAUAGAGAAGUUAUUUUGACUGUGAAUUACCUACUUUAGCUCAGAGAAAAGUUGUUUUAAAGCGUGAUGAAAAUAAUUAGUGAGUUAUAGCUCAAUUUCGGAACUAUACGCGGUUUAUUGAUGCAGUUUGGGAAUUGAAUCUUCGCAGCAGGUUUCUGAAACAUGUGGAGCUUAUUUGGUGACCUGGGAGGCUGGUUUAGAAGGUGUUCUACCCUGAGGUAAGCCAGAAUUUCAGUUGGGAAGCUGAAAUUGCAAGAUUCCGACGAUAUUUGCUAAUAUAUGAUGAUUUUGAUGCCGUUUUGAUGUUGAUCGCAGCGGGAAUUCAACUGACCUUUGGGUCAUCUUUGGUUGGCUUUGGGAAGCCUUUAGAGACUUAAUUGGAGGUACUAAAGUGAACCAAAACAGCGAUUUAUGUUACUACUUUAUACGAGAUGUGAAUUGAGCCGAAAUCGGAAAUUUCGGCCGUAGUCUUAAUCCGAUCUUGAUGUUUGUUUUUCAGCGGAGUUGAGGCCUAUUGGAGUUGAUUGUGGGACAUAGUAAUAGGUGGGUUUGACCUAACCAGAGCAAGUGGAGCUCCCCUAUGUUCUAUAUGUAUUAUAGAAUUGACACAGUUGUAUGCUUUUGUGAUUGAUAUAGAACUUGAGACGAGUCACUAUAUUAUAGUGUUGACAUAUAUAAUUGAAUUGAAAUCUCUAUGAAGUAGAGAACCCUCAUGCAUAUAAGUCUUUAUAUACAUGUUUAAUUUAGUUGAGUGAUUAAUGGACAAGUUAUCAUGUUUCUAGAAAAUAGAAAACCGUNNNNNNNNNNNNNNNNNNNNNNNNNNNNNNNNNNNNNNNNNNNNNNNNNNNNNNNNNNNNNNNNNNNNNNNNNNNNNNNNNNNNNNNNNNNNNNNNNNNNUCAUUGCAUAUUGUGAUAUACAUAUAGCUGUAUGAAAAGAUUAUUGUGCUAUACUUGCUACUAUUAGUUCAAUAAUAUAUAUAUAUGAUUGUGGUUUAUGCUAGUAUGCAUGAUGGUUGCUUGAUGAAAAUCUAACCCUAUAUGAAAUUGAUAAUGCUUAUGUUGCUAAGAACGUAGUAUGAUGAAAACUAGUGUUGAUAAUGAGUCAAAUUGACGAGUGGCAUCUAGUUUAGAAAACUAUGACAAGUGGGAUCUAGUUGAAAUGACUAUGAUGAAUGACUUGUGAUGUUCUCUGAGAUGGCAUCACAUUAGUGUAGUUGAGACACUAUGAAGAUUGGGUACAUGUAUACCUGCCGUUCCAUAGAUGAUAUUACCCUCAGAAGGGUUGUUUGUUGUCGUGAGAUGUAUCUUGCUCACAUUGCUGCUGCGCUUGGUGGGUCGCUGCCCCUCAAGUUGUGCGCUCCGGAGAUUUGGUCACUAGAGAGGCCCAGCCCUCUGUGCUGUCGGAUAAGCCGCUUGUAUCCGCAAGGGUACUCGGGGAUAGUCCAGCUCGACAAUCCCUAUGAGAUUUGAUAUGUGAGCUUGUGUGAACCUUGUUUCAUUUUGGAGAUUGGGUUACUCAUUUUGAUCUUACCCAUGAUUGAUGUUCAUAGUGAGCUAUUCAUUGUUCAUAUCAGUUACUUGCUUACCUAGUAGCAUGUGUUAUAGUUACUAUGAUAGGCUGUUGUAGAUGUGAUAAGUUGCUUAUUUACCCAGCUAUUUUUAUUGUUCUAUGCAUUCAUGAUUCAAGAUAUGAGCGCAUAGCUUGAGUAUAUUGUUUACAUACCCGUUUCCGUUCAACUUAUUUAUAUAAUAUAUCUGCAUAUAUAUCUCUCUAUGCCUACUUGAACCUAGUGGGUAGAUCGGCGGAGUCGGCGGCCGAACCACUGGGAACUAUUCGUAGUUCUCACCCCCGUGUGGCUCUGGGGGUACAGGUAUACAGGACAGCGGGCCUUCGUCGAUGGAUCGCGGCAAGAGGCAUAGCGCCCUAGCAGUUGGUUGAUAGUUUUACCUUCCCUACUGCAUUAGCUCUACCUUGUACUUUUGGUUAUACAUUUUGAAAGUAGUUGUUGUAUAGGGUGAGGUUUUGGAGAGCUUAUGAUGUAUAUUCAUUUUGGAUAAAGAACGCAAGUUGUAUCAAAGUUUAAAGUUAAAUGAAAUCGAAAAAGAGGUAAAUGUUUCAAUGAUGUCUCAAAUAGCCUAAGUUGCUCUCUUUUGUAUACUUGUAUGGUUUUACUUGUAUCGCUUGCUCUAGUUGAUAGUAGCACUGUUUGUGCUCUGUUUAUCGUUGUUUGAUUUGUGUAUGUAUGCAAGUUGUUUCCUGGGAACUUGUUGUACCACAAUCUGUUGCUUAGCUUGGGCGGACAGGGGAAACUCCGUCCGUUCGGCGGUCGCGCCGCCGCCCUCGAACCGACCAAAUUUGGUACCGUUUUCGGGCCGCGGGUUGGGGCGUGACAACGGGUACCCGGAGCAACCCAAGAACAGCAGCUCUCGGGAUUGUGCUGUUGAACAGGGGUGUACCGGUGAUGCCACCCGCGUACCGAUAGCAGUGCCUGAACAGCAGGCUGGGUCUGCUGCAAAUAAAAAGAGUUGGAGGUUUAUUGCUAUUGUGGGUACCUAUAAAAAUAUCCCAACCUCUCCUCUCUUGUUCACAGCAGUGAACCACCCUUCUCUUCAUUUUUCUUCCCCCUCUCUCUCUCUAGGAGCUCUUCACCAAGGAGGAUUAGAGAGAAUUUGACGGAGUAUUUGGUGGAGAAGAAGGCAAGGAAGUGAAAAACUUCUUCUUCUUCUUCCUUAGCUCAAGGAAAUGAUAGCUUUUGAGGUAAGCUCCAUGAGCUCUCAUGGUAGAUGUCUAGGGUUUGGUUCAAAUGCCCUACGAAUGGUUUUAGAUGGAUCUUUAGAUGAUAUUAAGCUUGUUUUUGCUUAUCUCCAAGAUCCAUUUGGUGCUUAUGCUAUAGGGCAUUGUUAGGGCACCAAAAUUGAGGCUUUUGUCAUAGAUGGGUUUAAAUAUGAAUUGACCUUGUAGAAACCUAAUUGAAUAUUUCCGACGCGUUGGUGGACUCGGUUCGAAGAUCCGACGAGUCUACGCAAAGGAAUUGGAGAAAAAGACUAAUUUGACUUCGUUUUGCCGUAGGCGAGAGAAUAGGCAGUUAAAAAUCACGAAAAUUGAACCGUAGUACCUUAGCAACCAUACGAGGUGGGGUGGUGCUUUCCGAAAUCCUCGGAUUUUCUUUUCUCUCUAAAAUGUCAUUUCUUGAGCAAAUUUAUAUAUUGAGCUUCAUGCAUUGUAGGGUAUUUGAGAGUAUAUUGUUGCAUGUUGCGAGUACAAAUGCAUAUGAGAUGAUUGUAAACUAAUGAGAACUUGUAAAACUCUAUGUAUGCAUGAAUGAUGACAAGAACCUAGUAAAGGCAAAGAAUCUAGUGAUAUUGAGAAUAAAUAACAUUAUGACAUCAAUAGUAGAGUGGCAUCAAUGAGUUUUGAAUGCUAGUGUUACAAGUAUGUCAUUAAUGAGAACAAUAAAUGCAUGAGAUUGAGUAUAAAGAAUAUGUAGUGUGUGUGACACUAAUGAGAGUUAAAAAAUGCAAAAGAUGAGAUAGUUGACAUUAUGACACAACGUGGAAUGACAUCCUUAUAGUUAAGGGUCAAAUGAGCAUUGCAUCCUUAGAGUUAAGGAUUGGAUUAAACUUGGCAUCCUUAUAGUUAAGGAUUGGAUCAUACUCGCCUAUAAGUCUUGGCUUGAGGGUGGUAGCUCCACCUCGAGCGAUGAGCUCCGGAGUAGUCAUUACUGGGUUGGUGUUUUCCCCAAAGGACGAUCCCGUUGAGUCGUAGUAGUCUCCCCGAUAUUAGGGAUUUUGAGUUGGUGAAUUGCUUUGGGCAAAACCUACGGGUUAGCCAAGAGAUUGGGUAAAGCAACUAUGAUCUUGCAUGCAUCAUGAGCAUUCUAUUUGAGUAUCAUUGUUGACUAUAUCUUGUUCAGGCAUAUUAGCUGCAUUUGUAUAGUUUGGUUACUAUCAAUCUGUUUAUUCUUCUAUUAUGCCUGAUUUAGACCUAGUGGGAAAGUCAGCGAGGUCGGCGGCCGAACUUUGUUGUAGUUCUCACCCCACUAUUUUCCUCAGAGCCGGGACCGAGUGAGCCGGCCGACGAUCGCGAUAAAGGUAUCACGCCAUAGACAGUGACUACCCGAGUCGGGUCCAUAUUUAUUUAGUUCCAUUCCCUAUAUAUCAUCUUUUGUAUUUGAUGAUGUUAGUAUUAUGGAUAUGAUAAAUGAUGUAAAGAGAGUUUAUAUUUUGGGAAAUCGUGUGAUGUAAAAGAAAUGAUGGAAAGAAUAUAAAAGCAUUUACAAGUUGAAUGCAUGUAUGUGGUUAAAAGUUAAUCAUUAUACUUGUAUGAAUGUUUAGUUUAGAAUCUUUCACUUUUGGCUACUGCUUAAUUGCCCUCGUGCAAGCCAUGUAUGUUAUGUUUCCGCUUGUGCAAUCUAUAUACUUGAUUUGUACUUGUGUUGAGUCUUGGGCGGACAGGGGAGGUGCUGUCCGUUUGGCGUCUGUUCGACGUGCCCGAACCGACCUAAUAGGCGGGCUCGGGGUGUGACAUCGGCAGUCGGUGAUCUCCGCCGCAGAUAACACAUCGAGANAAUGCAUGUAUGUGGUUAAAAGUUAAUCAUUAUACUUGUAUGAAUGUUUAGUUUAGAAUCUUUCACUUUUGGCUACUGCUUAAUUGCCCUCGUGCAAGCCAUGUAUGUUAUGUUUCCGCUUGUGCAAUCUAUAUACUUGAUUUGUACUUGUGUUGAGUCUUGGGCGGACAGGGGAGGUGCUGUCCGUUUGGCGUCUGUUCGACGUGCCCGAACCGACCUAAUAGGCGGGAUGCUGUGAGCAGCUCGGCGGUCGAUGAUCUCCGCUACAAAUGACACAUCAAUUGGGUCCCGAGCUCCUCGUCUGCGAUCGUGGAUACCGAGGGGGCCUCUUGGGACUCGACCGACCCCUGGUCCCACCUGCAGUCCGCUUCUUUCCUUUGUCCCUUUCCUUUUUAAGAGACUCACGCUCUAUGCGCGCAUAGGCAUUGCCGUGCUCCGCCCACAACGCCCGAUCCAACACCUCCGCAAAAGUCGUGAGCUUGAGAAUAUGCACAGCUUUGUAAAUUUUCGGCCGAAGUUCUCGCUCGAACCAGUCGGGCCUAUCCUUGUCGUCCCGAACUACAUCAGGGACACAAUCGAUGAUGUGAGAAAACUCCCACUCAUAUUCUCCCACCGAGCGGUUUCCUUUCCUUAGCUUCCGAAAUUGAUCAUAAGCUUCUUCUUCUCACUAUCGCGGAAAUAAUUAGAGAACAAUAAUCCCCGAAAUUUCUCCCAAACCAAGGAAGGAAGGUUAGAAGGUCGAUUCCACUUCACCCUCUUCCACCACACCUUCGCCGCCUUCUCCGAACAAUGCGUGGCGAGGUGCACCUUAUCCCUCUCCAAGGUAUAAAGAUCCUCAAAGAGUGCUUCCAUCGAGUCGAUCCACGACUCCACCAUCCACGAUUCCACCUUUUCCCUGUCAAACACUAGCGGGUUAAACUUUUUAAACAUCACGAGGGCCGCGAGCGCACGCUCCCUCUCCGCCUCCAUUGCCGCACUCUCAGGAUUUGAAGUGCUCGAAUCAGUUGCCGCCACCAUUGGUGCAAGUCGCGCCGCAACUGGUAUAGCCACCGCGGCCACACCCUCGGUCGCAAUCUGUAUCACAACAGGGGGCGCAAGUUGCUCGAUGCCCGCCUGAGCCGUCGCCGCCUGCUGCUGCACCCAGGCCUCCUGGAGCCAGGGCGUUACACAGAUUCCGCUUGCUGUCGCACUAUUCCCACAAGUGCGGAUAUCUGUUCGCGGAGCUAUCCAUCACCACUCGCCCCGGACUAUUCGGGGGCCGAACUCGGCUCCUCAGGCCCCAACCUUGUUCGAGGCCUACCGUGUGGCAGCGCUCCCUGAAAUGUAACAACCACAUCAGUUGCUUGACCUACGACGCUAACAUGUUGCUACGACAUACCCAAACAAAACCAAAUCAGGCGAAAUCAUUCAAGCGAAUCCAUUCUCAUCCCUAGGCAUUAUUGUCAGGCCCCGGGACCCAGCGGAAACUCGCCCGGCGCGUGCCCAGACCCGCCAUAUGUCUAAAACAUAUAAGGCAUCUAAAACAAAACAAUAAAUAAAGUAAUAAAACAAAGGAAUCUAACGAUAUCAGAGCAAAGUAAAUAACUAUGUUCUACAACAGAGGUGUAAGUAUAAAACUGAAAUCCACUAAUAGAGCCAUAAAGUAGUACAAAGAAAAUUUCAAAUACAAAAACUAAACAUAAAGAGUAUAUAGGUGGUCUCUCUAUACAUGGUACUCAAAAUCUCUUUCUCUCUCUCUAAUACAAAAAAAAAGAGUAAACCACCUAAGCUCAACAGUAGCUCCCCGCUAACUAGCUACGCGACUCCCUUGCCGCGAUCCCGUGCCUCCGCAGGUGCCGAAGGCUCUGAAAUAAAACCAUAAAACAGAGGGCGUGAGAACUAUUAAAUAAUAGUUUCCAGUGGGCAAUUACUGACUUCAGUGAAAUGCGCCACUAGGCCCAAAAGCUACAAAAAAGGGGGGUCAGUGUAUAAGUAUAAGCAAAAGCGGUAAGAACAACUAGGAAAUAAACAUGAAUACUACUAAACCAUGACAUCUCUACUUAGCAUGAUUUGCAUAAGUAAGAAAGCAACUACUACAAGUAUAUGCACAAGAGUAUCCCACAUGUAAAUACAUAAGUAUGCAACUAACCCAAUGUCCACAAUGUAAAUAGUAAAGAUGUCAUUGUUUACUAUUCUAGUCAAUGUCCACUUGUCACUUUGACUGUUUAAAGUUCAACUUUGAUAAGACCCACCCGAAGGCUGUCUGGCAUGAAGACCCACCCAAAGGCUGUCUGGCCUGUAAGACCAACCCGUAGGCUGUCUCGCCGGUGCCGUCCCUAAUGGCCCCGUGGUAGUCAACAUCCCCACUCUUAGGGAUGAGCCUUUCCACUCGAGGAGAGGGGAAAGGCUGUCUGGCCUGUAAGGGACCGGUUGCCUCGCCGGCUGCCGCAACACUGUUCUGAGGGGACAAGUCUCUCCUAUCAGUGACCGGUCCGCGAGAGUGAAAUCUCUCAGGACACAGUCAAAACUCUGGAAAUCGAACUUUUAGGCUGGAAUACCAUCUACGGCCUUCCACCAAGUGUGGAAAAGUUCGGAGUACACAUCAAACACUCGAACCUCGCAAUUUGCAAAGGUCCAGUGUGCUACAUUCACCCCUCCUAAAAAGGAGUUUCGUCCGCGAAACUCAAACGAUAACACAUACCUCACAGCUUCAUCUGAAAAAGAUGGGGACAGCGCUCCCGCAGCGCGCUCUCUAGCUCCCACGUGGCCUCCCGUUCCCCGUGGUUGCUCCAAAGAACCUUCACGUACGGAAUAUCCUGAUUCCGCAGUUUCCGCGCCUCGCGAGCCAAAAUCCUCACUGGUUGCUCCUCGAAGCUCAAGUCGUCCCGCAACUCCACAGGUGUAGCAUCCAACACAUAAGUCCGGUCAAAGACAUACUUCCGAAGGACCGAUACAUGAAAGACGUUGUGCACGCCCGAUAGGUUCUGUGGUAGAGUAAGUCGAUACGCUACCGGACCUACACGUUCCAAGAUCUCAUACGGUCCAAUGAAACGGGGGCUCAACUUACCCCGAAUCCCGAAUCUCUUGAUCCCUCUAGUCGGCGAGACCUUCAAGAAUACAUGGUCUCCAACUUGGAACUCCAAGUCUCGCCGUCGUCGAUCGGCGUAGUUCCUCUGUCUACUCUGUGCCGUCAAAAGUCGCUCCUGAGCAAUUCGAACUUUGUCCUCAGCUUCCUGGAGCACAUCAGGGCCUAAAGCCAAUCUCUCGCCAACUUCACUCCAAUGAAGUGGCGAUCUACACUUCCGUCUAUAAAGUGCUUCAAACGGCGCCAUCUUGAUGCUUGCUUGAUAACUAUUGUUAUAAGCAAACUCCGCCAUCGGUAGAUGCUGUGACCAUCCUUCCUGAAAGUCUAUCACACAAGCUCAGAGCAUAUCCUCUAAAGUUUGAAUGGUGCGCUCCGACUGCCCAUAACUCUGAGGGUGGAAAGCAGUGCUGAAGUCGAGUCGGGUGCCCAUGGCGUCCUGUAGACUCCUCCAAAAGUGAGAUACAAACCGAGUGUCUCGAUCCGAUACUAUCGAUGUAGGCACCCCAUGAAGUCGCACGAUCUCAUCAAGGUACACGUGUGCGAGCUUUUCCCCAGUCCUAGUAUGAAUAGGUAUGAAGUGCGUCGACUUCGUCAACCUAUCCACGAUCACCCAUAUAGCAUCAUGCCCGGCCUGAGAGUGGGGCAACCCAGUCACGAAAUCCAUGGUGAUCUUCUCCCACUUCCUCACGGGAAUAGGCAAACUCUGAAGUUUUCCCGCGGGUAAUCGAUGCUCAGCCUUUACUGGUUGGCAAGUUAGACAACGAGCUACAAACUCGCCAACGUCCUUUUUCAUCCCGGGCCACCAAUAAAGCAACUUCAAGUCCUUGUACAUCUUGGUGCCUCCCGGAUGUAUAGCAUAGGGCGCUCUCGAUGUGCUUCUUGAAGAAUAUCCUCUUUAAUUUCCGAAUCCGCCGGUACACAAAUCCGCCCAAGAAAACGUAUCAAUCCUUGGCCAUCCACAAGGUAGUCGGCGGUGCAACCAUCAACCAUUCUACCUUUAAUCCUUUGCAACUCCACAUCGAAAGCUUGCUUCUCUUUAAUUCUAUCCAAGAGUAUAGGUUGCACUACCAAGGUCAUCAAUCUCAAAGGUGUGUCUGGAGUCACCACCUCUAACUCCAACCGCUUCAUCUGCUCGAUCAACUGCGGUUGAGUAACAACAUGCAUCACUAAGUUCUCCGUAGAUUUCCUACUUAGCGCAUCCGCCACCACGUUAGCCUUGCCCGGGUGGUAAGUCAAAUCAUAAUCCUUGAGCAGCUCCAACCAUCUGCGCUGUCUCAAGUUCAACUCCUUCUGAGUGAACAAAUACUUCAAGCUCUUGUGAUCCGUGUAUACUUCACACCGCUUGCCAUAUAAGUAAUGGCGCCAUAACUUCAAUGCGAAGACUACGGCCGCCAACUCCAAAUCGUGUGUAGGGUAAUUCUUUUCAUAUUCCUUCAGUUGGCGAGAAGCAUACGCGAUCACCUUGCCGUCCUGCAUCAAAACGCAGCCCAAUCUAUUAAGAGAUGCAUCGCUAUAAACCACAUACCCUGCUCCAACAAUAGGUAGGGUCAGGAUCGGGGCGGUCGUCAGUCGUUGCUUCAGCUCUUGGAAGCUCCUCUCACACGCAUCAUUCCAGAUGAACUUGACACCUUUAUGCGUAAACCUCAUGAGGAGAGUAGAUAACUUAGCGAACCCCUCAACAAAUCUCCUGUAGUAAUCGGCCAAUCCAAGGAAACUCCAAAUCUCCGUAACGCUCGUCGGUCUCAGCUAAUCCUUGAUAGCCUCAAUCUUCUUAGGAUCCACGGCUAUACCCGAUCCCGAUAUCAAAUGUCUAAGGAAGGCUACCUCUCGAAGCCAAAAUUCACACUUUUUCAGCUUGACAUAAAGCUCCUUUUCACAUAGUGUUUGAAGUACAAGCCUCAAAUGCUCCUCGUGAUCCGCAUCACUCCGGAAAUAAACCAAAAUGUCGUCGAUGAACACCACGAAAAAUCUGUCCAGGUAAGGCUUGAAAACACGGUUCAUCAGAUCCAUAAAAGCUGCCGGGGCGUUAGUAAGCCCGAAUGGCAUCACUGUGAACUCAUAAUGUUCAUACCGUGCUCUAAAAGCCGUCUUUGAUACAUCCUCGGGUUUGAUCUUUAACUGGUGGUAUCCCGACUGCAAGUCUAUCUUGGAAUACACACACGAUCCUUGAAGCUGAUCAAACAAGUUGUCGAUCCUCGGCAACGGAUACUUAUUCUUGAUCGUGACUUUAUUAAGUUCACGAUAAUCCACACAUAGGCGAAGUGAUCCGUCAUUUUUCUUGAUGAACAAAACUGGCGCUCCCUACGGCGAGACGCUCGGUCAAAUGAAGCCCUUGUCCAACAGAUCCUGUAGCUGUGCCCUCAGCUCCUUCAGCUCCGCCGGUGCCAUCUUAUAGGGUGCCUUCGAGAUUGGGGUAGUCCCAAGGACGAGAUCUACCACAAACUCGAUCUCUCUAUCGGGUGGCAUACCCAGUAACUCAGCUGGAAACACGUCCUGGAACUCCCGUACCACCGGAAUAUCCUCAAUCCUAGGGGUGUCACCCUCGCCCCUCAACACAACACUAGCCAAGUAGGCUACACAUCCUCGAUUGAUCAGCUGCCUAGCUCGAGACGAGCUGAUUGACAUCACGAAAAGCGAACUCCGGCAUCCUCUAAACACGACCUCAGUCUGUCCCGGUUCUCUAAAAGUAACCGUGCGAUUCUUACAAUCAAUCGUGGCAUAAUACUUGGUUAGCCAAUCCAUACCCAAGACCACAUCGAAAUCCCCUAGCUUGCGCAGAGCUAGCAAAUCUACGGGCAUGAUCUAAUCUCCUGCCCGAACAGGGCAACUAGGGCAAUACUCUCUAAUAUCCAAAGUGUGGUCGGGUACUACAACAAGUCCCGGAUGCAACAAAAAAACCAAAGGGAUGUCAUGCAACUCGGCAAACAGCCGAUCUAUGAAUGAAUGCGAUGCACCGGUAUCGAAUAAAGCACGAACUCUGAUGUCAUCAAGUAAAAUGAUACAUGCAACCACAUCCUCGGCUGAUGCCGCCUCCUCAGUCUGAGCGGCAUACAAACGCCCACUCGGGGCUUGUCGAGAUCCCUCGCUCUGGCGCUGGACGGAUGGCCGCCCAGGCUGCUACUGUGUCGAGGGAGUCCCGUGGCUAACGGGUGGUAGAGCCGGUGCCGAUGUAGUCGACGGUGCCGGUGAAGAACCUCUCGGGCACUCAGUACGGAUGUGGCCCUCCUGGCCACACUGGUAGCACCUGCCCGCCCGCUGCGGACACUGCGGUGGGUGAUGAGAGCCACCGCAGAUCACACACUGGGAGGGCCAGCGACGAUCAGGUCCUCCUCAAUGCGCCGCUGAGCCGCGUCCUCGCUGCUGGCUCCUAGGAUGCUUCGGCGGCCUCCUAGAGUGCGUCUGGCUCGCACCCUCUACCGCAGGCCUCUUGGCCUUACCUUUGUCCAUCGCCUCUCGCCGCUCCUGAACCUCUGCUGCGCCGCUCUCCACUAUGAGCGCGUGAUCCACCACCUCCCGGUAGGUUUGGAGGUUAGAGGAUUGCACAAACCGGAAGAUCGACGGUCGCAACCCUCGCUCGAAGAUGCGGGCCUUGUCCUCAUCGUCCCGCACGACGAAAGGCAAGCAGUGAAGAAGCCGACAAAACUCCCGCUCGUACUCGGCCACAGUCCGAUCACCUUGGCGCAAGUUGCGCAGAUCCUGCUCCAUCUUCCGCUUGACGCUGGUCGGGAAGUAGUGAGCCAAUAGAAGCUCCUUGAACCUCGUCCAAGAUAUAGCCGCCAAGUCAGUGCUGGGGUUCUCCUGGAGAUCCAACCACCAGCGGUAGGCCUCGCCGUCCAAAUGGUGUGUGGCGAGCCAAACUCGAUCUCUCUCCUCUACGAAGGUGUCGCAGAAGAGCUUCUCCAUAUGCAUCAACCACUUUUCCACGAUCGAGUGGUCGACCUUCUUGCCAUCGAAGAUCCGAGGACUGCACCUUCUGAACUCGUUGAGGCGCUCCAUCAGCAUGUCUCGCUCUGCUCCCUCGGCCAUCACGGGGAAGACCGCUCCAACCGAAGGCCUCUGCACAGGUGGUGCCGCAAUAGCCUCCUCCUGAGGCACGGCCGCGGGAGCUGCUCGCGAAGAACUGGGCGCAGGGGAUGGCGCUCUCAGCGCGAUGUCCACGACUGGUGCUGGCGGUGUAGGAACCUGAGUCUCCCGAGUCUCUGCCUGCUGCAGUAGGAGAUCCUCCAAACGCUUCAUCCGGGCCUCCUAUCGGCACGCAGCCUCAGUCUACUGUGCCACCAUAUCAGUGAGGGCCGCAAGCUGGCCCCUCAACUCUCGGACCUCGCUGGAUCCGGAGGUAGCGGAAGUCUCGACCUCCUCCAGAUUUGCCGCGUUAUCCACUCCGGCAGAUUGAGAGCGUGUAAUCGGCAUCACACUACAAUAUCAUAAAAGCGUAAGUUAGUAAACUCACGCCAUCGAAUCCCCACUCAAGAAGGUAAUGCCCCAAAUCAUGCGAAAGUAAUGAAGUGUGCUUCACUAUUAACUUCCGAUGUUACGUUGUCGGCCGCCAACGUAACCCUCCGCGAAAUUAGGAGCUAUACACUUCAAUUUAACUCCACUUUCUAGAGUUAUCAAGAUACCCAAUCACGAUACUUUCACUUACAAGUCAAAUAGAUCUCGUCUCUCACGAGCCUAUGUCCUAUAUUCCAACCGGCCUAAGGUUUGCUAGGUCCACUAAGACUAAACCCUAGGCUCUGAUACCAAACUAAUCUGUCACGCCCCGGGACCCAGCGGAAGCCCGCCCGGCGCAUGCCCAGACCCGCCAUAUGUCUAAAACAUACAAGGCAUCUAAAACAAAACAAUAAAUAAAGCAGUAGAACAAAGGAAUCUAACGAUAUCAGAGCAAAGUAAAUAACUAUGUUCUACAACAGAGGUGUAAGUAUAAAACUGAAAUCCACUAAUAGAGCCAUAAAGUAGUACAAAGGAAAUCUCAAAUACAAAAAUUAAACAUAAAGAGUAUAUAGGUGAUCUCUCUAUACAUGGUACUCAAAAUCUUUCUCUCUCUCUAAUACAAAAAGAAAGAGUAAACCACCUAAGCUAAACAGUAGCUCCCCGCUAACUAGCUAUGCGACUCCCUUGCCGCGAUCCCGUGCCUCCGCCGGUGCCGAAGGCUCUAAAAUAAAACCAUAAAAUAGGGGGCGUGAGAACUAUUAAAUAAUAAUUUCCAAUGGGCAAUUAUUGACUUCAGUGAAAUGCGCCACUAGGCCCAAAAGCUACAAAAAGGGGGGGUCAGUGUAUAAGUAUAAGCAAAAGCGGUAAGAACAACUAGGAAAUAAACAUGAAUACUACUCAACCAUGACGUCUCUACUUAGCAUGAUUUGCAUAAGUAAGAAAGCAACUACUACAAGUAUAUGCACAAGAGUAUCCCACAUGUAAAUGCAUAAGUAUGCAACUAACCCAAUGUCCACAAUGUAAAUAGUAAAGAUGUCAUUAUUUACUAUUCUAGUCAAUGUCCACUUGUCACUUUGACUGUUUAAAGUUCAAUUUUGAUAAGACCCACCCAAAGGCUGUCUGGCAUGAAGACCCACCCGAAGGCUGUCUGGCCUGUAAGACCCACCCGUAGGCUGUCUUGCCGGUGCCGUGCCUAAUGGCCCCGUGGUAGUCAACAUCCCCACUCUUAGGGAUGAACCUUUCCCACGGCAAUCCACUUCGGCGCCGAAUCCCGCACAGCGAACGUAUCGCGAUGGCUAACUCCGGAGUGCCGACUUGUAGGGAGCGACCCUCACAAGCAUGUGCGAAUGAGCACAAUGGCAAGCAUGCGUAUAAGUCUGUCUCAAGUCUCAAGUCCUCAUGUCUAUGAACAUGGAAUAUAUCGAAUGUCACAAAGGCCUGUCACUAUGUCAUCAUGUUUCUAACAUAGAAUAUAGUCAAUGUCCAAUGGCCUAUCACUAUGUCUCUAUGUUGCAUUUUCAUAGUUCACUAGUUUCAAGUGCCCCUUUAUGACACUUUUGUUCAACAAGUCUAAGCAUGAAAAUUAUGUUCCCGAAUGCAUAAUAUGAGUCAUUUUAAACAUAAAAGACAAGUUUUCCACUCGCUAAUGCGAUUACUUUUCACAUGCAUGCAGCAUAUCCAUAAAGCUCUACUAUAUAGAGUAAAAUUUUCAUCAUACAUAAUGCAUGCAUUUUAAGUGUUCUAAAAUUCACAUAAUUCAUAUUUAGCAUGGAUUUGCAUUCAAAAAUACUUUACGACAAGUAUAGAAAAUAUAGGGGCCAUUUUGCCCCGUGUUCAUGAAGCCAAACCCACCAAGAAUUGAAACUCUUCGUUUCGCCGAACGGAGGUGUCCACAAGUCUCCUAGCACCCUAAAGAUGUAGGAACGAGAGUUACACAAUCGAAACGAAUAUCGGAAAGCUCAAUCUUAACCAUCUAAGCAUAGAGGGUAUAACUCACCUCUAGUGAUGAAAUCUCUUCCCAAGCUUCCAAAGAAAGCAAUAACCUUUCCAACCGAACCUAGAGGAAGGUUCUAAACCCAUCAAUUAGGUCUCGAAGCCCUCAAAUCAAAAAUUUCCAAAAUAAACCCUAAAUCUCAUUUCUAAGGUUUCAUUUCCCAAAAUCUACCAAAAAUAGGUCUAGAUGGGAGAAAUAAGCAACUAACCUCAAGAGGAGAUCCAAACCAAGCUCAAAAUGCUUUAGGGUUGUAGAUUGAUCCUCUAUCGAGCUCCUAGCCCAAGCCCCAAGCCUCCAAUGGUGAGCAAAAGGGAGAGGAAGAUGCUCCAAGCCUCAAGAUCUUGCUCUCCUCCAACUUCUUCUUCUUCUUCUCUCUCUAGAAGUAUAAGGGGGGGGAGAAAUGAGAGAGUGAGAGGGUGGAAAUGGCCUUAAGGCCUUUAGAAGCAACAAAAUCCAUAUAAGCCCCUCAAAGAAUCACCCUGUGCACUGCCCGGUCUGGGCAGUUUUCGCGGUGAGGGGCCGGUCUCCCCGACACCUGGGACCGGUCUCUCAGUUCGUCCUGCAAAACCAACGUUCGGGAACUGGUUUCUCCCCGCGUGGGACCGGUCUCUCCCCGCAAAAAAGCGCUCAGGGACCGGCCUCACCGGCCAGGGACCGGUUGCCUCGCCGGCUGCCGCAACACUGUUCUGAGGGGACCGGUCUCUCCUAUCAGGGACCGGUCCCCGAGAGUGAAAACUCUCAGGACACAGUCAAAACUCUAGAGAUCGAACUUUUAGGCCGGAAUACCAUCUACGGCCUUCCACCAAGUGUGGAAAAGUUCGGAGUACACAUCAAACACUCGAACCUCGCAAUUUGCAAAGGUCCAGUGUACUACAAUUAUGUUGUCGCCGCCAACAUGACCCCUCGAGUUGAGAACAAAUAUCAACUUGGAUUAGUCCCUAAUUACCCUUAGAGACAUACUACCAUACCAACCGACCCAAUCCGUUUCACUUUCGCUUUAAGUCGAUUCUACGUUGCUCACGCACCUAAAUCCUUAAGGUUUCCAUCCUAAGGUUCCUAUGUCCGUCCUAUACUUUCACUUCUCAUGUCUCUGAUACCAUCUUACCUCUCACGCCCCGCGACCGCCAAUUUGGUCGGUUCGGGUACGUCUACAGACGCCGAACGGACAGCACCUCCUCUAUCCGCCCAAGGCUCAACUCAUCAUCAACAUGUAUAACAAUUUGCACAACGAAAAUUCAGAUAUACAUGGCUUGCACGAGGGCAAGCAACAACCAAACAAGUGAAAGUACUAUUACUAUUACAUCCACACAUGUAUCUUGAUUACAUUUAAUCAAAUAUAAGCUUACCAUAAUUCACAUUAUUUUCCCAAAUACAUAACAUGUCUCUCACCCAAAACAUAUAUCACACGUCCCUUUAAUUCAUUUAUACAUAUCCAUUUACAUGUCAUUUUCAUCAUAUACAAAAGAUGAAAGGAAAUAGGGUACAUCUAAUACACGGGUGUCCACUACCUAGGGCGCUAUGCCCUUGCCGAGAUCCUCGACCGCCUCACUCGGGCCCGGAUCUGAAAAAAUGGUAGGGUGAGAACUACAAGAAGUUCCCAGGGGGUUCGGCCACCGACCCCGCCGACUUUUCCACUAGGUCUAAAUAGGCAUAAAUAGAAGAUAAACAGAUAGAUAGAUAGUCAUUUCUAAACAAAUGCAGCUAUUAUGACUGAACAAGAAUAAUAAACCAAUAUAUAUAUGAUGCUCAUGAUGCAUGCCGAUUGCCAUUAUCAAUAUCCAAUCCUCUUGGCUAACCCGUAGGUUUAGCCCCAAAACUCAACAACCAAAUCCCUACUAUCGGGGAGAUACCACUACGACCCGAUAGGACCGUCUUCUGGGGAGAUACCGCUACGAUCCAGUGAUAACCACUCCGGAGCUCAUCACCUGAGGGGGAGCGACCGCCCUCAAGCAUAAGACUAUAGGUGAGUAUGAUCCAAUCCACAACCAUGAGGAUGCCAUGUCCACUGAUGCCACAACAUGCAAAGUGUUCCAUUCACUAGCAUUCGAUGCCUCAAAGUGCUAUUCCAAUCAUUUAUCACAAUGUCACCAUGUUUUCUACCUUGGCUAGGUUCAUAUCCCAAUUCAAACAUCUAUAGAGUUCACAAAUAUCCAAUGUUCCAUUGCCAACUCAUAUGCAUCUUUAUACUAAAAACAUGCAAGAAGUACCAAUUUAUUACCAUUUAACCCUAGAAUGCAUGAAUCCUACAUAUACACAUACAUGCUCAAAUGGUGACUUAGACAUAAUGAGAAAUCCAACUAUAUCGGAUAGCACCACCUACCUCGUAGGGAUGUUGGAGUGCUAGGAUUCGAAUCUCACAAUUUAUGGUUGCCAUCACGACAAACGAAGCCGAAACGAGAUAUUUCCUCAAUAUUUCGACGUAGACUCGACGGAAUUCCAAUCCGAGUCUCCCAACGCGUCGGUUUAUACACCAAUUAGGGCUACAAGAGAUCAAACCCAAGUUAGAUCUCAUACCUAACAAAACCCCAUUUUUGACCCUAGGGUUUCCAAUCUCCUCAAAUACCCAAUUUUCAUAGAGAUUCAUGAGGUAAUCUAACAUAUUAUCCUCUAACACCACAACUAGAAGGAGAUUAACCAAACCCUAGCUCACAUACACAUGCACUCACCUCAAGUUCUAGCUUUUUCCUCAACCCCCUUGCACAAGAGCUAGCUUCUUCCCCAAGCAAGCUUCCUUUUCCUCCAAGCUCCACUCUUGGAGCAAACCCUAAAGAGAGAAAGAGAGAAAAAGAGAGUAAAGUGUGAGAGGGGCUCCUAGAGAGAGAAAGAGAGUUUCUACUCUUUGUUCUCAUAUGAGGGAAAUGAGGCUUAGGGUAUAAAACCCUCAUAUAAAGUCCCUCCCUUGACAAUUACACCAACGCCCCUCACAAAACUAAUAUUCUGGACCACCAGAGCUUUUGCGUGUUCGGGGUCCGGACCUUGCACUCAGGGUCCGGACCCAGAGAGCAAAUGCACACCCACAAAAUCUGAAAUUCUUCCAGGUUUUCUCUCCAAGGUCCUAAACACUAUCCAAACCAUUCCGAAACAAUCGGAACAUCUCACAGGCCUCACCAUUUCGGCCAUCACAACACUUCGGUCAAUUUGACUGAAGUUCAAUACGUCCUACUGGGGAUUCGGUAUGUUACAGACUAGUAAAAUUAUCAAUUUUGAUACCUUUUGAUCAUUAGCCAAAUGAUGUUGAAAAAUUAUGAAAUUUAGUUGCUAAAUACUUUUAAUAGUGUAAAUCAAGUCUAAUGAAGCCGAUCUUCGAUUUGGAAGCCGCAUCAUUGAAAACAACUUAGUAGCACAUAGCCUCCGUGCUACCGAUAGUAUACCAGCCUAGCUCUCUCUCUCUCUCUCUCACUCUCUCUCUCUCUUUCUCUCUCUCUAUAUAUAUAUAUAGAGAGAGAGAGAAAGAGAGAGAGAGAGAGAGAGAGAGUAUAUAUAUAUAUAUAGAGAGAGAAAGAGAGAGAGAGAGAGAGAGAGAGAGAGAGAGAGAGAGAGUUGAGCUAGAAUACUAUCGGGAGUAAACGAGCCGNUUAAAUUAAAUUUAUGGAUUCAAAUUAAAAUUUAAAAUGUAAUUUUAAGUUUGAAUUUGAAUAAAUUGAAAUUUAGUUUUAUAUUUUGAAUUAUCCACUCAACUUCAAAGUCUAAUUUUUUUUAAAAAAAAUAGAUUUAAAAUUUUGACAUUAUUUUAAAAUUUUGAUGUAAAUUUUUUAAUAUUUAAUUUUUAAUUUGAAUUUAAAUUAAUAUAUUAUAAAGAUAAAGUUAGUAUAUUAAUUUGAUUACGUUUUUUAUAUCUACCUAAACCAAACAUCGACAAUGAAAAUGAUUUAUUCCGAUUCCGAUUCAGGUAGCAAACCAAACACAAUUAGAUAAUGAGUCAUUUUAAUUUCGAUUCUGACUUGUUUCGAUUUCGAUUCUGAUUUCGAUUUCGCCUUCGAACCAAACGCGACCUUAGAGUAGGCAGAAGUAUAAGUCCUUUGAGGUGCUUCUGUUUAUUUUGAAGGUCAAGAAACACUGCCUAUAUUCCUCUGCUAUCAAUCAAGAGUUGGAAGUUCGGGGGCCUGUUGUUUAAGCAAAAGAGCAAUUAUCUAACAGAUGAACAUCUAUUGAGAAUUAGGGAUGUCAAUGGAUAUGGAUACUCGAAAUUUUAUCCGAAUCCGAAUCCGAAUAAAAUGGAUUUGUCAUCCAAACGAAAUGAAUUUAUCCGAUGCUAAAUGGAUAUAAUUUUCGAUAAAGAUAUCAAAAACAAAUAUCCGACAUAUUUGGAUUUGAAUAUGAAUUUUGAUUGUACUCGAUCCAAACCCGAAUCUGACAUGAACCCAAAAUUAUUUUACAUUAUAUAUAUAUAUAGAGAGAGUUAGGCUGGUAUACUAUCGGUAGCAUGGAGGCCUCCGUGCUACCAAGUUAUUUUCAAUGAUGCGGCAUCGAAAUCGACGAUCGGCUCCGUUAAACUUGAUCUACACUAUUAAAAGUAUUUGAAAACUAAAUUUCAUAAUUUUUCGACAUCAUUUGGCUAGAGAUCAAAAGGUCUCAAAAUUGACAAUUUUAAUGGUAGAUGUGAUGCGUUUGUGAAUUUAACGGUGUAAAACAAUCCAAAUCUGAUGAAACUUUUAUAAAUUUUUUUUUUCACUAUUUAGAGUAAGAUCAGUAGCUCUUGUCUUAAAUUUAAAUUUUUUAUCAUCAUUUUUUAUGAGAUUUUUAUUUUCAACAAUUCAUUUUUAGACUACUCGUUUGAUAGGUAAAUGAUACCGAAAAAUUAUGAAAUUUAGUUUCCAAAUACUUUCAAUAGUGUAGAUCAAGUCUAACGGAGCCGAUCGUCGAUUUAGAAACGGCAUCAUUGAAAACAACUUGGUAGCACGGAAGCGUUCGUGCUACCGAUAGUAUAACAGCCUAGUUCUAUAUAUAUAUAUAGAGAGAGAGAGAGAGAGAGAGAGAGAGAGAGAGAGAGAGAGAGAGAGAUGGGCUGGUAUACUAUCGGGUAGCAUGGAAGCCUCCAUGCUACCAAGUUGUUUUCAAUGAUGUGGCUUCUAAAUUGACGAUCGGUUCCGUUAGACUUGAUUUACACUAUUGAAAGUAUUUGGAAACUAAAUUUUAUGAUUUUCGGUAUCAUUUACCUAUCAAACGAGUAGUCUAAAAAUGAAUUGUUGAAAAUAAAAAUCUCAUAAAAAAUGAUGAUAAAAAAUUUAAAUUUAAGACAAGAGCUACUGAUCUUACUCUAAAUAGUGAAAAAAAAAAUUUAUAAAAGUUUCAUCAGAUUUGGAUUGUUUUACACCGUUAAAUUCACAAACGCAUCACAUCUACCAUUAAAAUUGUCAAUUUUGAGACCUUUUGAUCUCUAGCCAAAUGAUGUCGAAAAAUUAUGAAAUUUAGUUUUCAAAUACUUUUAAUAGUGUAGAUCAAGUUUAACGGAGCCGAUCGUCGAUUUCGAUGCCGCAUCAUUGAAAAUAACUUGGUAGCACGGAGGCCUCCAUGCUACCGAUAGUAUACCAGCCUAACUCUCUCUAUAUAUAUAUAUAAUGUAAAAUAAUUUUGGGUUCAUGUCAGAUUCGGGUUUGGAUCGAGUACAAUCAAAAUUCAUAUUCAAAUCCAAAUAUGUCGGAUAUUUGUUUUUGAUAUCUUUAUCGAAAAUUAUAUCCAUUUAGCAUCGGAUAAAUUCAUUUCGUUUGGAUGACAAAUCCAUUUUAUUCGGAUUCGGAUUCGGAUAAAAUUUCGAGUAUCCAUAUCCAUUGACAUCCCUAAUUCUCAAUAGAUGUUCAUCUGUUAGAUAAUUGCUCUUUUGCUUAAACAACA